UGAUUGUAGUACUCAUACAAUGUUAACUCGAGUUGCAGGGAGAGAACACAUACACAAGCAGAACAAAAGUAAAAAGGGAAAUAAAAUGAACCUGGCACGAAACCAUGUUGUAUGAUAAAAGGGAGUUAGCUUGUUUAGGCCUUGCCAGACUCCUCGCAGCCUGGUGGCUUGAAGGCGAUGAAGCUGACGCACUGCACCUGACGCAUGUUGUCGAAUCCGAUGAUGCGGACAUAGGCGUCAGGGUACUCCUUCUUGACCUCCUCCACUUCGUUUAACACCUGUGUGGCGUCGGUGCACCCAAACAUAGGUAGCUUCCACAUUGUCCAGUAUCGGCCAUCGUAAUACCCUGGAGAGGCAUUGUGCUCACGGAAGAUGAAUCCAACCUUGCUGAACUCGAGACAAGGCACCCACUUGGAGCGGAUCAGGUAGUCGACCUGCUUCAGGAGUGCCUCCGUGGAGAGCGGUGGCAAGUAAGACAAAGUCUCGAACUUCUUGAUGCCUUCAAUCGGCCAGACCUGAAUUGUUCACAGAAUUUAGUUUGUCCUCCGUUAGUCAGCUCGAUGGAAUGGGCUGGGAAGUAAAAUCUUUUGUCUUCGGUCUAGUGACCAUACCUGCAUGCACCGGAUUCUUCCGCCGUUGCUGACGCUGCCGAGGCCAGCCGCGUUGCCGGAGAGGCGGCUGACUGGGAGACCAGCUGUGGACUUGAGUCCCUGGAAGGGUGCUACGGCGGUGGCUGCCGACGACAUGACAGUGGGAGCCAUCGUUGAUAGCUAAUAGGAGAGGCAGGCUUUACUUGAGACUGUGCGGUGGGUCGGCGACGAUGGCUUGUAUAAACCGUAGGCUCCCACCCAUUCCAUUAUCUGCACAAGAUCUGGGAGGAGUGGCUGCUGUUAGCCUCGGAGAUUAUCCCCGGCUACGGUGCCAUCCUGUAGAUCGGAUCAAGCGCCAUGUGGCAACGUGCCUUAUCCCGUGGACCUACGUUCUACCCUGUCCAUGCGUGGCUGAUCCUUUGCAAAUGAGAAUGUACUUUUUUUCGCGAUAUUCACCACACAUCUGAUAUAAUGGACAAUAACCAUAUGACCCUAUGUGGUAUACUUAGGAGACAUCCCACACGAUUGACACAAUCGGACGCAGCUACUUCAUGUCACACGUCUAACAAUUACUCCCUCCGCUCUUUAAUAUAAGUCUUUUUAGAGAUUUUUCUAGAAGACUACAUAUGAAUGUAUAUAGAUAUAUUUUAAAAUGUAUAUUUACUCAUUUUACUUUAUAAGUAGUCACUUAAUGAAAUCACUAAAAUACUUAUAUUUAGGAAAUGAGGGAAUACUCAUUCCCAUCCCUUUUGUAUGCCACGGAGCAAUUUCGCCUUGACAUUUCUUGGUGACAACUUUAGUUACUUGAGGAUGGUAACUUUAGUUGUAAAACAUCACAACUUCUCUGUUUUAAUUAAUUAUAGUUGUCAUGCUUAAUUAACGAUAGUUACCACGUGUGGCCAAAUUAUAAUUGUCAUGUAUGAUCAACCAUGGUUGUCAUGUGUGAUUAACUAGCUAUCACGUGUAGUUCAACCAUAAUUGUCAUGUAUGGUCAAUCAUAUUUGCAAUAUGUGAUUAGCCAGUUGCCACAUAUGCACAACUGUAGUUGUCAUCUAUCACAAUACGAGCAUCGUAUGGGUGAAGAGUAGUUCACCCGCACAACGUGGACUAGAUGGUGUCUGUGUAAGCGAGUACCGAUUCACCUGCACGACGAAGCUAUCAAUCACGCGUGCAAGGCCGUUUGGAAAAGCGCUCUAACCACUUACACACCACAAUAUGCCUACGUGUGAAAUUCUAAUAGACCCCUGCAAGAUUCGUGCAAUCGAGAACCAACGAUAAUAAAUGCGUAUGGACCAAGUAUUGAAAUACCACACGUAUGGAUAUUAUUAUUUGUUUUUUAUGUCAGUAAAUAAGGAUGCUCGUAUACAAGGCAUACACACACACCAAUGAGAAUUUCUAAAUAUAUUUUUAUCUAUAAUAUUAUUUUUUAGGGAUGUAAUGACUCCUUAUUCAAAUAAUUCAUAGCAAUCGUUACAUGAUCAUUUGCUUGAAAGAAACCAAACAUGUCUACCUAAGUUUAGAGAAAGUAAAAAAAUUUGGCUAAACUAUAUGCUUCAUUAUUCUUGUCUAACUUUCAUGUACUUUCAACAAAUUAUGUUGCUCUAGCCUUGACCUCGUUUAUAAUAGCAACAUAUCUUUCUCCUUCAAUCAUUUUGAGGUCCUUAUCACAGUGGCACAAUGAGAUGAAAUAAUAAAUUGUGAUGCUUGGAGAUCAUGUGUGAGCACCAUCACCUCGCGACAACAAGUGUUUUUUGAAUUGGUGCACUAGUGAUUCCCGGGAAAGUAAUGGAUUAAGAUCUCACUUAGUUACCAUGUUCGUAGCGACAAACUACCACUGUUGAAACUCGAUCGCUGUUUUUAGAGAACCAGAUGGGGGUCUAAUCCAAGGUUCCUAACAAAACUUGGACUCGCGCACCUACUCUAUUGUCUUUUUUUUGAAGAGAUGGUAUCUAGCUGUGAAAAGAACUUCGUAAUUAACAAGCGGGUUGAUCAAGGUGAUUGGAAUUCUUGUUCUUGCCUUUCAUCUCGUGGACCAUACUGCCCACAAGGUGAUUACUAUCUCCACAUAGUGCUCAUGUGAUAAUGAGUCUAGCAUAGCCAAGAGACACAUUUUUGCAUUUGGUAUCCUUGUUUCCAUCAAGUGUUGGAGCAUCUCCUCAAUGGCCCCAAGCACAUCUUGUAUAAUGCCCAAUAUGCGAUCCUAUCCUUGUUUUUUUUGGUACGAAGGCCUCGACGGGGGUAGAAUCUCAUCUCGUCGUUUUACAAGAAUGGAUAUCGUUACAAGUACAUGUACAGAAGGGACGAGUAUAUGGAAUUGGCUUACAAUCGCCACAAGCUACAUCAUGAGAAUCUCAAUACAACAAUACAUCCAAUCAUCAUGUAGAAGAGCAGGGCAUGUCUACGGAUGAAAACAAACGAUAAAAGAACGACGUCCAUCCUUUCUAUCCCAAGCUACUGGCCUGAAACCCAUCCUAUGAUCGAUGAAGAAGAAGAAGAAACUCGAAAUAGAACAAUCAUCGCGCUCACGUUGAAGUAUCGCUUUACCGGUACCUGCAACUAUUGUUUUAGUAAUCUGUGAGUCACAUGGACUCAGCAAUCUCAUCUUUAAAGGUAUCAAGACUAGCAAAGCUUAAUGGGUGAGGUAUGGUUAUGUGGUUAGGUUGCAACAAGGAAAUAAGCAUUUAUAUGAGUGGCUAACUUACGAGUAGAAGAAAUAAGAGAAGAGAUAAUCUACGCAUAACGAACGUGAACUAAUAAUGAUCUCAAAGUGAUUCUGAACACCUACUUACGUCAAACAUAAACCAACCGUGUUCUCUUUAAUAUGCAUAACUCACGAGAAGAGACAUUCACGGUUACGCACACAGUUGGCAAGUUUUAAGUUUACUUCAAGUUGUCUAGAACCAGAUGUUAAACAAAGUUUCCAAGUUGCCAGAUAACCACGGGCACGACUUUCCAAGGGAUAUAACCCUCGAGGGCUUCUCCAACUAGUCCAUCACAAACUACCACAAGCUGCGUCGGAAACCUAGACUACGGAAAAACCGUGAUCUCCUCGGGUUCCUGGUGGAAAAACUCAAGUUCGAGAUAGCCCAAAUUAUCCUCGGAAUCCCUUGUAGAAGACAUUCGAGAAAGGUCAAAGAAAUCCACCAAGGCCGCCCGACGAGUCUACGAUGCCGAUAGGAGCCGCGUAUCUCGUUCUCCGGACACGAUGGAUGAGCACUACGUACGGUGGCCGGAUAGACAUCCCCCGAGUUCGGCCCAGCUAGUGGCUCUAGUUUGGACCAACACUCAUGAGAAGCACUGGCCCGGGGGUUGAUUAAUUAUCCACAGGGUCGUGAAAGUCCCUAUGCAAUUUUAUUAGGUUAUUAGGCAAAAUGUAGUACCAAUGCUGGGCCUUGCCAGAUGAGUUUUAUCCCAAAAUGAAAAUCUAGGGGGUCUCCAUAAGAACCCCAAGCAUGUUAGGAGCGCUCAAUUAUGGAACAUAACACCGGUAGCCGAAACUAAGGCAGCAAAAGCGGAACAAAACACCCAACCAAAAGACUAAGCCUUCCGCCUUCUACCAAGUAUAUAGGUGCAUUAAAUUAAAUAACAAUAAUAUUAUGAUAUAACAAGGAACCCAUGUUUUUUUCAUGGAAGCAAUUGUACCUGCAACUAGCAAUGCUAUCAAAAGGCUGAGUAAGCCGUAACAUAGCCAACCAGUGGUUUGCUUGGUUGAGGAAUGGUUAGAGGGUUUUCAUGACAAAGUUUGGAGGAUGACAUUUAAGUGGUAGGCAGCGAGACAUAGCGAAAUAAACGAUAUAACUAGCAUGGAAAUUAUAGUAAUUGUAUCUAGGGAAGUGGUCAUCUUGCCUGUGAUCCCGCUUGGAAGAAGAACGAAUCCGUGAAGCAGGUGAAGCAAUGUAGCCGAACGAAUCCUCACAUUCCAAAGCUGUUUAGAACUCUAUCGAGGAAAAAACAAUCCGGAACAACAAUCAACACACGAUAACACCACACAUAUUCAUGACAAGAUGCACAAUAAAAUAUGAUGCAUGGCAAUUUCAAUUUAUGCAAGCAUGGAAAAGCACAACAAAUAAUACUACACAUUAAAUGAAGCUCAAUAUGCAACAAGUUGCAUAUUGAAAAACUCCAUACUUGAAUUAUUUAGUUCACUCUCAUUUAGGUACACGACAAUAUUAAAUGUUGUUAAACAUGGCAAGAGGUGAAGCAUAAAUAAACUACACUAUCUAGGCAUUUUAAAUGAGCUCAGAAACAACAUAUAGCAUCUCCGAAAUGACCCCAUGUGUUAAUUUUGAAAUCUGUCUAGAUCUGAACUAAGCAUGUUUUAAGUUUAUUAAACAGCAAAAUAAAGUGGACUACGUGACUCUACAUGUCAUUCUAGUCAAUUUACAUAUAUAGAUCAUUUGAAAUGGAGCUACGGUCUAAAAGAUAUGAUCAUCACACGAUAAUAUGAUAUUGAUGCAAAAUGCAUGCAAAUGACAUCCACAACAUGUUAAACGUGGAUGCGACAGUAUAUUAUGGAACUACCAAAAUUCUAAGCAAGUUUAAAUUAGGCCUGAAUAACGAACAACAAUUCCGGAAAGUCCAUAUAUGUAAUUUCUAAAUUUGCUACAGAUCUGUGUAAACACAAUUUUAGAUUUGUUAAACAGGAAAAUAAAUGUUACCAUGUUAUUCUACAACUUUUUCUAGCCAAGUUACAUAUGUGGAACAUUUUAAUUGGAGCUACGGUUAAUUAGUUAUGACAUAAACCAUUUCCACAUGGCAUUUUUGCAAAUUAAUUAAAACAACAAGUUAAACAUGUUAGACACAUGUGAGAGUUGCAUAUUGUAAACCUACACAGAAUUCUAAGCAUUUUUUAUGUAUGAAGUUUUUAAAUCCGACGCACGAUUAUUUAGCUAUGAAUUAAUUCAUUUUAAUAUGACAUCCACGCAAAUUUAAUUAAACAACAAGUUUAAAUGUUUUGAACAUGUGUGAAAGGGACAUAUUAUCAAUCUACACAAAAUUCUAUACAUUUUACAUAUUUAAAAUAUUUUUAUCCGAUGCACGGUUAAUUUGUUCUUAACAUUUUAAAGUGAGAACAUAAUCUCUAAUUAUAACAUACACCGAAUAGUUAGCAUUAUCAGAGACGCAAAAAAACAACAACAUGCCGAAUCUGGCUACGGGCCAAAACAACCAGUGGGCACAGGAUAACUGUGCGAGACAGUAGGCGGGUUAUAUAUAGGGAUUGGGCUAUGGUGGGUUGGACCUUGUCCGUCCGGUCGUAAUUCGAUGACCACGAACGGAGGGAGGGGUUAGGUCGGUCUAGUGGGCUGUGUAGAUGGGCUAGGUUCGGAUGAGAGGGAAGUGGUGCAUCCCAUGACAAAAUUUUAAAAGGCAAAAACGCCCGAUAUUUAAACUGACGCCGGUGGCACUAAGGUCGAGCGUUUGGGUAUCAAACAAACUCCGAUUGCGACGAAAUUUGGCAGGCGGUCUACCUACAUUAAAAUAGAACCGCACGCCAUGUUUCAAACCAAUCUGAGAGAGUUUUGCAUACGAUUUAAAAAAUAAUAUUUUUAAUAAUGUCACGGGCGCGUGUGCGUAUGAUUGGCCUCGAAACGGUCAAUGACAAAAACGGACAGAACUGACAACUAAUAACGGAUGCAAGUUUUGAAAAAUGACGGGAAUGGAGUGCCGAUGCAAUGCGGAUGAUGCGAAUGAUGCGAUGAUGAAUGCAGAAACCAAACAAAUCACAUGACAACAAUGCAGUAAAAGGGGAAUCUUCUAGAACGUUGGUUCCGGGCUGUUACAUCUUGCCGAGUAGCGUUCCACCAAAGCAUGACACCAAGAAUCUUCAGAAUCACACACACGGAAGCAAUAUGUACCUGCCAUAUUUCCUUGCUCCAAAACAUCAAAGGCUUGGUUUGAGUGUUGGGCCAAACGUUCCGCAAAAUCCUUGAGUUUCAACAGAAUAGUAGUGCCCCAUAACUUCGUCCAUUGCUUAACCACCGAAACCAUAUCUGAUGAGGCCAUACCAUGAUACAACCAUCCAUCCUAGUGCAUCUUAGUGUUAAAAAUCGUGGUGGCGAUGUUCCUCUCAAAUGCCAAGGACAAAAAAUAGACAUAUAUUUUGUGCAUAAAUGAAUACCCAGAAUAGCACAUUCAUCCAUCGGUAAAAAGGAGGCCCAAACCAAACCCUUGCGCCAAGUCGCCGAUGUCCUAUCUAUUAAUUCAGGUACCAAGAAAACCCCAUGUUGUGUGGUGGUGAUUUUCCUCACUGUACUUUCUCCUGGAAUCAAAUUAUGAUUCCAAAUUUCAGUUGUGGAUCAAUCUCCUAUGUGGCGAAUAAGGCGAUGGAUCAUAAAAGUUGGACCUUCAACUACUGAUCUCCAAAUAUUUGAUGGGUGAACCCUAGGGUUGCAAAUAAUAUAGAUAUAUAAAAAAAUAUCGAUUUAAGCAAUUUUGCACUCAGGGUGUGUGGGUCCAUAAGAAUUCUCCAUGUCUAGCAAGCCAAAAGAGCCAAGCUAAAUAACUCCAAAUCUCUAAAUCCCAAACGUCAGAAAAAAGGACUAGAACUUCCGCGCCGCCGCUGCAAGUCGUUGUUCUAAAGAGAUCCCAUUCGGAGCCCUUUUUUGGCUUCCUGUGGGAGGGGAAAUCUUUAGGGGAGACCAUAUUCAUGAUCCCGGCGAUCUCUAUGAUGAGGGGGGAGUAGUUCACCCUGAGGGUUGAGGGUAUGUACUAGUAGUUAUGUGUGUGAUCUCUCUAUCUCGUGUUCUUGAUUUGGCACGAUCUUGAAGUACCACGAGCUUUGUUAAUAUAGUUGGAUCAUAUACUGUUCUUCCCUCUCUAUCUUCUAAUGAAUUGACUCUCUCCCUAUGAGAUUUCGUUAUGUGGGAUUAAACACUUGGGAUUUGAGAACACUAGAUGUACUUGUUGUAUGCGGUACCCCUGGUGACAAUGGGGUAUUAUAUUGCAUCACUUGAUAUAUGUUUUGGUAAUCAACUUGUGGAUUCCCGUGGUGACAUUGGGGUAAUGUAGGCACAUGGGUUGAUACAUGUUUUCAUCCUAAUUUCUCCUAUAGAUACUUUGGGGUAAUCUUUGAGGUUCUUUGUGUGGAUUUAAUAUUAUGAAUCUAAAAUUGUUUGGUGUUAUUUAGUAGGAAUGCUAGGGUUUUUUGUGAUACAUUAGGUAUUUCUCAAUAGAGUGAUGGAAAAGACAACUAUUUAGCACAAACUCUAGGGCUGCUUGUGACACAUAUAGGGAUGGAUCAAUAGAUUGAUCGGAAAGAUAAAUUUGAGGUGGUUCACUACCUACAACAAUUUCUUCUUAUGUUCACCUCUAAUGACCAGGAUUUUGGAGUGAUUCUUUGUGCAUGUUGAGGGAUGGUUAUAUGACUUAAUUAUGCUAGACCUAUUGAGAAAUUGCACUGGUGAAAGUAUGGACCCUUGUUUCCAUGUAUUGAUUUAACAUGUUGCAAGUUGUUUGUCACUUGCUACCUUGUUGUUCUUAUAUUUUUCGAUUGCAAAAAACUAUUUCUACCAUCCAUACUACACUUUUAUCACCAUCUCUUCUCCAAACUAGUGGACCUAUACAAUUUACCAUUGUAUUGGUUGUGUUGGGGACACACGAGAUUUCUUGUAUUUGAUUGCAGGGUUAUUUGAGAGAUACCAUCUUAAUCCUACACCUCCCAUGGAUUGAUAAACCUUAGGUGAUUGAUACGUAUCCAACAUAUCUAUAAUUUUUGGUUGUUCCAUGCUAUUUUAUUGCCAUUCAUGGAUACUUUAUAAGCAUUUAUAUGUUACUUUAUAUCAUUUUUGAAAACUAACCUAUUAACCCAGUGCCUAGUUCCAGUUGUUGUUUUCCGCCUCUUCUGUAUUUUUAGGAAGCAGUACCAAACUAAGUCCAAAUGCAAUGAAAUUUUUGACGUUUUUCUGAACAAAAAUAAGAUAUGGGAGCUUCAGAGGGAGACCAAAUGCCACACGGAGUGGUGCCAAGCCAACAGAGCGCACCUAAGACGGGUAGGCCAGCCCUAAUGGCUAGGUACCACCCCCUCGCGCCUCCUGACCUAACUGCACCUCGAUAAAUUUUCUAAAAUAGGUAAAACACCAUAGAGACACCCAAAAUAUUUUUCCACCACCGCUCGUCUUUGUUCUGCCGCGAACCCAUCUAGAUCACUGUUCCGGUGUCGUGUCGAAGGGUGGAUCAAUCACAGAGGGCCUCUAGAUCAACUGUGAUGCUCCCAUGGUGAUAUGUGAGUAGUUUACGACAGACCUACGGGUCCAUAGCGUAAUUAUAUAUAUAUAUAUAUAUAUAGAUAGAUAGAUAGAGAGAGAGAGACACACACACACACAUAAACACUAUUCUCAUCCCAGGUUGAGAAUAACUAUUCUCAUCCAGACUGACUCGUCCGAGCAGUAGCACUUGAACUUCCCCGAGUGCUAGGUUGAACUUAUGCCAGAAGUGUGCAAAUGGGGCUUGCGAUAUACCAUUGCAAAUCUAUGGACACCCUAAGAAGAUCCUAAUAUGAUUUUUUGUGAAAAUGUUCAUGGUUUAAAAGUAGUUUUCAAAACUAUUUUUGUUCAUACCAAAAAACAUGAAUCGUAUUUUCAAGCCUAUUUCUAAAAGGUUUAUCAAAAUGAUGCAAAUAAGGUGGAGGUGGAGAGACUUUGCAAAUACGCUAAUUUCAUACGUUGAAAGUUCUCCCAAAUUCCCUACGGUUAAAGAGGAAUUAAAAAAAAUGGCUGAAUUUGUGAAACCGAACACCCGGGUUCGUAUUUCAGGGUUAAUUUGAAAACGGCUAGUCCGAUCGAUGCAAAUGAUAUGUUGUUCGAAAGCUUAUGAAAAUGUGCGUUGUUUCAUACAAAAUGUUUAUGCUAACUAUGAACGGUUUAAAAGUAAUUUACUAAAUGGCACAAGUUGUAUCGAGUUUGUAUUUUCGCGUCAAUUUUUCAAAGGUUUGUUGGAAUGGAACGAAUGAUAUGGCGUUGGAAAGCUUGAACAAAUGCUAAACUUUUAUAUGUCAAUUCUUUUUUAAUUCAUUACAGUUUUACGUGAGUUUUUAAAAUGGCUAAAGUGUGUUUUGGCUAUAGGUUUUACAAACUUUAUCGGAAUAAGGCAAAUAAUAUACCGUUGAAAUGCUACGGAAAUGUGAAACUUUUUCAUGUAUAUAGUUUUCUAUGAUUCCUAUCCAUUUUCAAGCAAUCUAGAGAAAAGUGAGAUCAUGCCUUCUGUAUUUAUCGCAAAAUAGAGCCUUCAAAAAUGCAUCGCGUGAAGAACUUGACCUUCUCGCCAUGUCCACUUGAACUUCACUUUGUUUUUUUUGGAAAUAUGCCCUAGAGGCAAUGAUAAAAUAGUUAUUAUUAUAUUUCCUAUUUCAAUAUAAUCGUUUAUUAUCCAUGCUAUAAUUGUAUUGAAUGAAAACAUAAAUGCAUGUGUGGAUAUAUAGACAAAACAAUGUCCCAAGUAAGCCUCUAUUUGACUAGCCUGUUGAUCAAGGAUGGUUAAGGUUUUCUGACCAUAUGCAAGUGUUCUCACUUGAUGACUCGAUCACAUCAUUAGGAGAAUGAUGUGAUGGACAAGACCCAAACUAUAAACGUAGCAUGUGAUCGUAUCAUUUUGUUGCUAUUGUUUUCUGUGUGUCAAGUAUUCAUUCCUAUGACCAUGAGAUCAUGUAACUCACUGACACCGGAGGAAUACCUUGUGUGUAUCAAACGUUGCAACGUUACUGGGUGACUAUAAAGGUGCUCUACACGUAUCUCCGAAGGUGUCCGUUGAGUUAGCAUGGAUCAAGACUGGGAUUUGUCACUCCGUGUGACGGAGAGGUAUCUCGGGGCCCACUCGGUAAUACAACAUCACAUAUAAGCCUUGCAAGAAAUGUGACUCAAGUGUUAGUCACAGGAUCUUGUAUUAAGAAAACGAGUAAAGAGACUUGCCGGUAACGAGAUUGAAAUAUGUAUAGGGAUACCGACGAUCAAAUCUCGGGCAAGUAACAUACCGAAGGACAAAGGGAAUGGUAUACGAGAUUAUAUGAAUCCUUGGCAUAGAGGUUCAAUCGAUAAGAUCUUCAUAGAAUAUGUAGGAUCCAACAUGGACAUCCAGGUCCGGCUGUUGGAUAUUGACCGGGGAGUGUCUGAGGUCAUGUUUGCAUAGUUCUCGAACCCACAGGGUCUGCACACUUAAGGUUCGGUGAUGUUUCAGUAUAGUUGAGUUAUAGGUGUUGGUGACUGAAGGUUGUUUGGAGUCCCGGAUGAGACCACAGACGUCACGAGGGUUUCCGGAAUGGUCCCGAAACGAAGAUUGAUAUAUAGGAUUGUUUCAUUUAGCCUUCGGAAAGAUUUCAGGCAUUAGCGGCACUGUACCGGGAGUGACGAAUGGCUUCCGGGUCUUUACCGGGAGGGCCCACCCACCCGGGAGAGAACCCAAUAACCCAAGGGUGGCGCACCAGCCCUUAGUGGGCUGGUCAGGCCAGCCCAAGUGGGAUAUGUAGGCUAGAAGGAAAAAAUCAAAGGAAAAAAAAGAGGGAGGUGGGAAGGAAGGAGGGGACUCGUCCUUCCCAAACCGAAUUGGAGUUGGAAUCUCCUUCUCCUCUCUCGUGUGGAGCCCUAGGGGCUCCCUUGAGCCCCAACUCUAGCCCCUCCCCUCCUUCUAUAUAUACUAGAGGUUUUAGGGGUUUUGAGACACAACUUUUGCCACGUGCAACCCUAAACCUCUACUUCGUAGUUCUUCCUCUAGAUCGGUUUUCUGCGGAGCUCGGGCGGAGCCCUGCAGGAAUAAAUCAUCACCAUCACCGGCGCGCCGUCACGCUUCUGGAUAACUCAUCUACUUCCCCGUCUCUCUUGCUGGAUCAAGAAGGCGGAGAUCGCCAUCGAGCUAUACGUGUGCUGAACGCGGAGGUGCCGUCCGUUCGGCGCUAGAUCAGAACGGAUCAUGGGACGACGGUGAUUUGAAUCACAAAGCCGUUCCACUACAUGAACUGCGUUUCUUAAUGCUUCCCGCUUAGCGACCUACAAGGGUAUGUGGAUCCGAUCUCCCACUCUUAGAUGAACAUCACCAUGAUAGGUCUUCGUGUGCGUAGGAAUUUUUUUGUUUCCCAUGCAACGUUCCCCAAUAGUGGCAUCGUGUUCUAGGUUCAUGCGUAGAUGUAAUAUCGAGUAGAACACUUAAGUUUUUGUGGGCAUUGAUGUUCGAUUUGCUGCCCUCCUUAGUCUUUUAUCAAUUCGGCGGUAUUGUUGGAUUGAAGCGUCCCGGACCAACAUUACUCGUACGCUUACGAGAGACCAGUUUCAUCGACUAACAUGCAACUCGUUCCAUAACGAUGACUGGCGGGUGCUGGUUCUUCAACUUUAGUUGAAUUGGAUUUGACCGAGGCGGUCCUUGGAGAGAGGGUAAAUAGCAAUUUGCACAUCUCCAUUGUAGUUUUGCGUAAGUAAGAUGCGAUCGUACUAGAUACACAUAGCAGCCACGUAAAACAUGCAACAACAAAUUAGAGGACGUCUAACUUGUUUUUGCAGGCUAUGCAUGUGAUGUGAUAUGGCCAAAGACAGGAUGUGAUAUAUUGGAUGUAUGAUAUGAUCAUGUUGUAAUAGUUAAAUAUCCACUUGCACUUAGAUGCUACGACAACCGGCAGGAGCCAUAAGGUUGUCUUUAAACUAUCUUCUGUGUUUGCAGAUGCGUUUACUAUAUUGCUAGGUUGUAGAUUUAGUAGUAAUAGCAUAGAUAGCACGACAACAUCGAUGGCAGCACGAUGAUGGAGAUCUUGAUGAUGGAGAUCAUGGUGUGGCACCGGUGACGAUGAAGAUCAUGCCGGUGCUUUGGUGAUGGAGAUCAAGAAGCACAAGAUCAUGGACAUAUCAUGUCACUUAUGAAUUGCAUGUGAUGUUAAUCCUUUUAUGCACCUUAUCUUGCUUAGAACGACGGUAUCAUUAUAAGGUGGUCCCUCACUAAAAUUUGAAGAUAAAAUUGUGUUCUCCCCGACUAUGCGCCAUUGCGACAGUUCAUCAUUUCAAGACACCAUGUGAUGAUCGGGUGUGAUAGAUUCAACGUUCACAUACAAUGGUUGCAAAACAGUUGCACACGCGGAACACUCGGGUUAAACUUGACGAGCCUAGAGUGUGCAGACAUGGCCCCAGAAUACAUGAGACCGAAAGGUCGAGCAUGAAUCAUAUAGUUGAUAUGAUUAACAUAGAGAUGUUUAGCACUGAAACUGCAGUCAACUCACGUGAUGAUCGGACUUGUGUUAGUGAAUUUGGAUCAUCCCACACUCAAAUAACUAGAGGGAUGUCUAUUUGAGUGGGAGUUUAUUAGUAAUUUGAUUAGCUAAACUCUAAUUGUCUUGAACAUAGUCUAAGUCCACUUUGCAAUAUUUUAUGUUGUAGAUCAAUGGCUCACGCAGUAGCAACCCUGAAUUUCAAUACGUUCCUAGAGAAAGCUAAGUUGAAAGAUGAUGGUAGCAACUUUGUAGACUGGGCUCAUAAUCUCAGGCUCAUCCUGCAAGCUGGGAAAAAGAAUUAUGUCCUUGAUGCUGUGCUAGGAGAUGAACCAUCCUCAACGUCUGAUCAAGAUGUUUUGAACGCUUGGCAAGCACGUAAGGAGGACUACUCAGUAGUUCAAUUGUAGUCUUGUAUGGCUUAGAACCAGGACUUCAACGAUCUUUGAACGUCAUGGAGCAUAUGAGAUGUUCCAGGAGUUGAAGUUUAUCUUUCAGAAGAACGCCCGAAUCGAGGGGUAUGAGACCUUCAAUAAAUUCUACGCUUGCAAGAUGGAGGAGAAUUCGUCUGUCAGUGAACAUGUGCUCAAAAUGUCUGGGGUACUCAUACCGUCUAGCUGAUAUGGGAUUGAAUUCCCGCAAGAGUCUAUCACUAACAGAAUUCUUCAAUCACUGCCACCUAGCUACAAGAGCUUUGUGUUGAACUAUAACAUGCAAGGGAUGAACAAGUCACCCAGUGACUUAUUCGCGAUGCUGAAAGUCGCAGAGUCAGAACUCCCGAAAGAACAUCAAGUGUUGAUGGUGAAUAAGACCACUGGUUUCAAGAAAAGCGGCAAAGGCAAGAAGGGUAACUCCAAGAAGAGUGGAAAAGCUGUUGCUCCUUCGACGAAGAAACCCAAGGCUGGACCUAAGUCGGAAACUGAGUGCUAUUAUUGCAAGGGGAUGGGUCACUGGAAGCGCAACUGCCCCAAGUAUUUGGCUGAUAAGAAGGCGGCCAACGCCAAACCAGGUAUAUGUGAUAUACAUGUUAUUGUUGUGUACCUAACCAACUCUCGUAGUAGUGCCUCGGUAUUUGAUACUGGUUCUGUUGCUCAUAUUUGCAACUCGAAGCAGGAACCGCGGAAUAAACGAAGGCUGGAGAAGGAUGAAGUGACGAUGCGCGUGGGAAAUGGUUCCAAGGUUGAUGCAAUCGCCAUCGACACAGUCUCACUUCAGUUACCAUCAGGAUUAGUUAUCAACUUAAAUAAUUGUUAUUUAGUGCGUGCGUUAAGCAUGAACAUUAUAUCUGGAUCUUGUUUAUUACGAGACGGUUACUCAUUUAAGUCAGAGAAUAAUGGUUGUUCUAUUUAUAUGAGUAAUAUAUUUUAUGGUCAUGCACCCAAUGUGAGGGGUUUGUUCAUAUUGAAUCUUGAUUGUGAUGAUACACAUAUACAUAACAUUGAGACCAAAAGAUGUAGAGUUAACAAUGAUAGUGCCACCUUUUUGUGGCACUGUCGCUUAGGUCAUAUUGGUAUAAAGCGCAUGAAGAAACUCCAUGUUGAUGGGCUUUUGGAGUCACUUGAUUUCGAAUCACUUGACACGUGUGAACCAUGCCUCAUGGGAAAGAUGACUAAGACUCUAUUCUUCGGAACAAUGGAGCGUGCAAGUGACUUGUUGGAGAUCAUACAUACUGAUGUGUGUGGUCCAAUGGGGGUGGAGGCGCACGGCGGAUAUCGUUAUUUUCUCACUUUCACUGAUGAUUUGAGUAGGUAUGGAUAUAUCUACUUGAUGAAGCACAACUCUGAAACAUUUGAAAAGUUCAAGAAAUUUGAGAGUGAAGUUGAAAAUCAUCGUAACAAGAAGAUCAAGUUCCUACGAUCUGAUCGAGGGGGCGAAUAUCUGAGUUUCGAGUUUGGUGCUCACUUAACACAAUCUUGAAUCGUUUCACAGGUUAAACCGCCUGGAACACCACAGCGUAAUGGUGUGUCCGAACGUUGUAAUCGUACUUUGUUAGAUAUGGUGUGAUCUAUGAUAUCUCUUACCGAUUUGCCAUUAUCGUUUUGGGGUUAUGCAUUAGAGACAGCUGCAUUCACUUCAAAUAGGGCACCAUCAAAAUCCGUUGAGACGACACCAUAUGAGCUAUGGCAUGGCAAGAGGCCAAAGUUAUCGCUUCUUAAAGUUUGGGGAUGCGAUGCUUAUUUCAAAAAGCUUCAACCCGAAAAGCUGGAACCUGAUAAACGUAUCUAUAAUUUUUGAUGGUUUCACGCUGUUAUCUUGCCUUCUUUGUAUGUUUUAUGUACCUUUUUAUAUCUUUUUGGGACUAACUUAUUAAUUCAGUGCCAAGUGCCAGUUCCUGUUUUUCCCGUGUUUUUGACUCUUUUCAGAUCUGAUUUUGGAACGGAGUCCAAACGGAAGAAAAACCCCGAAAUGAUAUUUUCCCGAACGGGAGAAGUCCAGGGGGCUUUUGGGCCAAGCCAGGUGGGCUCCAAGGAGCUCACAAGCCCCCACUCCGCCACCAGGGGAGGCGGCGGUGGGCAGGCUUGUGGCCUCCCUGGCUGCCCCCUGACCUAGGUCUUUGGCCUAUAAAUUCCCAAAUAUUCCGCAAAAAAUCACGGGAGCCUCGAAAAUACUUUUCCACCGCUGCAAGCUUCCGUUUCCGCGAGAUCUCAUCUGGAGACCCUUCCCGGCACCCUGUCGGAGGGGACUUUGGAGUUGGAGGGCUUAUUCAUCAUCAUCAUCACCCCUCCAAUGACUCGUGAGUAGUUCACUUCACACCUACGGGUCCGUAGUUAGUAGCUAGAUGUCUUCUUCUCUCUCUUGGAUCUUCUAUACAAAGUUCUCCAUGAUCUUCAUGGAGAUCUAUCCGAUGUAAUCUUCUUUGGCGGAGUGUUUGUCGAGAUCCGAUGAAUUGUGGACUUGUGAUCAGAUUAUCUAUGAUAUAUAUUUGAGUCUUUGCUGAUUUCUUAUAUGCAUGAUUUGAUAUCCUUGUAAGUCUCUCCGAGUCUUGGGUUUUGUUUGGCCAACUAGAUCUAUGAUUCUUGCAAUGGGAGAAGUGCUUGGUUUUGGGUUCUGCCAUGUGGUGACCUUUCCCAGUGACAGUAGGGGCAACAAGGCACACAUCAAGCAGUUGCCAUCAAGGGUAAAAAGAUGGGGUUUUUAUCAUUGGUUUGAGAUUAUCCCUCUACAUCAUGUCAUCUUGCUUAAGGCAUUACUCUGUUCUUAUGGACUUAAUACACUAGAUGCAUGCUGGAUAGCGGUCGACGUGUGGAGUAAUAGUAGUAGAUGCAGAAAGUAUCGGUCUACAUGUUUCAGACGUGAUGCCUAUAGAAAUAAUCAUUGCAUAGAUAUCGUCAUGACUCUACACAGUUCUAUCAAUUGCUCGACAGUUAUUUGUUCACCCACCGUCUACUUGCUUUCAUGAGAGAAGCCACUAGUAAACACUACGGCCCCCGGGUCUAUUCACAUCCAUCGUUUACAUCUCCGCUUUUACCUUGCUUUGAUACUUUGUUGCUUUCAGUUCUCACUUGGCAAACAAUCUAUAAGGGAUUGACAAACCCUCCAUAGCGCUGGGUGCAAGCUUUUGUGUUUGUGCAGGAUCUUGAGAUACUCUUCCGCCGGAUUGAUACCUUGGUUCUCAAACUAAGGGAAAUACUUACCAUCGCUAUGCUACAUCACCCUUUCCGCUUCGAGGGAACACCAACGCAAGGCUCCAAGGCCACGGGGGAAAUCCUUUGCAUACUUGCCUAGGAAGUCCCUUAAGGCAUAGCCGUAGCUGAAGGAUUCCUGGUGCCGUCGACACAACUAUUUCUGGCGCCGUUGCAAGGGAUACACAGCAAAUAUCAGAAGUAUUUCUGGCGCCGUUGCCGGGGAGGAGAAAUCAAGAUCUAUCCAAGUAGGUCUCACAAACUCUUCUCUUGCAUUUACUUUUGUUGCCAGUUGCCUCUCGUUUUCCUCUCCCCCACUUCACAUUUGCCUUUCUCCUUUGACUUUUUUGUUUGCUAUUUUUGUUCGCCCUUUUCUCUCGCUUGCUUUAUGUUCACUUGUGUGUCAUGUGCCUUCAAAAUGCUUGCAUCUUCGCUUGCUGAAAAUCUAUUGAUAUGGAUCCUCAUCCACUAGCUAGUCUCUUUAAGAGACCCACUAUUGUGGAACGAAUUGCUAGUGAGUUGAGGGCAAUUGACUUUUUCUAUGGAGUUUUGCUUAAGAUGCGUGAAUCUGAAAAUUGCGAGGAAGAAAUUCAUGAAGUGAUUCACGAGGGCUCAUUGGAUGAAAAGCAUGAUUGCAAUGGUUUCACUACAAAUUCUAUUAGUGACAAUCAUGCUAAAAUUAUGCAAAACCCUAAGCUUGAGGAUGCUAGUCUUGCUAUGACCACUACUUGUAGCAAAGAUCAUGAUUGGGGUGAGGAUUUUUCUUCUGAUCUUGAAAAUUUGUUCAAGCCUCAAGAUGAAUAUGAUAUUUGCAAUAUUAUUGAAAGUGGGUUUGGAGAAGUCAUGACUUUAGAUGAUAAUCCCACUAUUUUUGAAGAGCGUCAACUUUGCAUGCAUGUGGAUCAUGAAAAGAAUAUCCUAUGGGAUAGCUAUAUUGUUGAAUUUGAAUAUGAUCCCACAUGUAAUUGCUAUGAGGGAGGAAAAUAUUUUGGUAGAAACUUUCAUGUUACCAAAUCACCUCUCGUGAUGUUGAGAUUGCUCUUGUCUCUUUCUUCUUCCUUGCAUAUGGCAGCUAUUGGUUGUCUUGACAAUUUGUUUUGCUAUAAAAUGCCUAUGCAUAGGAAGUAUGUUAGACUUAUAUGUGAUUUUCACAUGCUUUAUGAUGCUCUCGUUGUGCUUCAAUUCUUGUCUUUUGUGAGAGCAUCAUUGAAUGCCUAGCUAAGGGCGUUAAACAAAAACGCUUGUUGGGAGGCAAUUCAACGAAUCUAUCCUUUUUCUUUCUGUUUUGUGUUUUUCACACUUUCAUAAUUCUGUUAUGAUUGUGUUUUUGUGUUUCUUUUUGCGUUUGUGCCAAGCAAAACCGUUAUGAUUAGUCUUGAGGAUGAUCGUUUGGUCAUGUUGGAAAAGACAAAAACUUUCUGCUCACGAAAAGAAUUUUCAUUUUUUUUCUGUAAGUGUUUUUGAGUUUAUUCUUUUUGCUGCUGAUUUCUACGCUAAUUCUUCAGACUGUCGUAAGUUUUCAGAAGUUUUGAUGUACCAUAGGUAUACGAAACAUACAGAUUUAUAUAGACUGGUCUGCUGUUAACAGAUUCUGUUUUUGUUGUGUUGGUUGCUUAUUUUGAUGAAACUAUGGAUAGUAUCAGGGGGUAUUAGCCAUGGAAGAUUGAAAGUACAGUAACCCAACAUCAGCACAAGUAGAAUUUAAGUUUGCUACAGUACCUAAGGAAGUGGUGGUUUGCUUUCUUGUACUAAUGUUAUCACGAGUUUCUGUUUAAGUUUUGUGUUGUGAAGUUUUCAAGUUUUGGGUGAAGUUCUUAUGGACAAAAAGAUAAAGAGUGGCAAGAGCUCAAGCUUGGGGAUGCCCAAGGCACCUCAAGAGACUCAAGUAUGCCGUAAAAGCCUAAGCUUGGGGAUGCCCCGGGAAGGCAUCCCCUCGCUCGUCUUCAAUCCAUCGGUAACGUUACUUGGGGCUAUAUUUUUAUUCACCGCAUGUUAUGUGUUUUUUCUUGGAGCGUCUUGUAUCGUAGGAGUCUUUUAUUUUUGUUGUGUCACAAUCAUCCUUGCUGCACACCUAGAUAGAGAUACAUGCACACACCGUGAUUUUGUCGAGCUUCACUUAUAUCUUUUGGUAGACAAUUCAGCUCACAUGUGCUUCACUUAUAUCUUUUGAGCUAGAUACUUUUUCUCUAUGUGCUUCACUUAUAUAUUUUAGAGCACAGCGGUGCGUGGCUUGGUAGUUGAUCUAUGCUUUGAAAGUAGUCUCAAAAGGGGUAGUUAUCCAAAGGGAUACGAAAACUUCCACCCUCAUGUGCAUUGAAUAGUUAGAGAAGUUUGAUUCAUCUCAAUUAGUUUUGAGUUGUGGUUAUGGUAAUAUUGAAGUCAUGCUUGUAAGGUAUUGUGGAUCUAGGAAUACUUGUGUUGAAGUUAGUGAUUCCCGUAGCAUGCACGUAUGGUGAACCGCUAUGUGAUGAAGUCUGAGCAUGAUUAGUAUAUUGGUUUUCAUCCUUUGCCUGGCGGUCGGGAUCACGCGAUGGUUUAUACCUACCAACCAUUCCCCUAGGAGUAUGCGUUGAAUGCUUUGUUUCGAUUACUAAUAAAACUUUUGCAACAAGUAUAUGAGUUCUUCAUGACUAAUGUUGAGUCCAUGGUUUAGAUGCACUUUCACCUUCCACCAUCAUUAUCUUCUUAGUGCCAUGCAACUUCCGUCGGUGCACAAAACCCACCAUUAGCCUCCCUCAAAACAGCCACCAUACCUACCUACUAUGGCUAUUUCAAAGUCAUUCCGAGAUAUAUUGCCAUGAAACUACCACCAUGAUAUGUGCCACCACGUCUACAUUGCCAUUACAUGAUCGUAAGAUAGAUAGCAUGCUGUUUCCAUUGAUGUCUAUGCCAUGCUAGAUCAUUGCCAUGGUACACUACCGAAGGCAUUCCAUAUAGAGUCAUAGUUGCUCUAAGUUUUGAGUUGAAAGUGUGAUUCAUUAUUGGAGCAUUGUCCCAUGUGAGGAAAUAAAAGAGGCCAAAGAAGCCCAUAAAAAAAAGAGGCCAAAGAGCCCGCCAAAAUAAAAAAAAUGAGAGAAAAAGAGAGAAGGGACAAUGCUACCACUUUUUCCACACUUGUGCAUAUUGAGCACCAUAAUCUUCAUGAUUGAGAGUCUCUCGUUUUGUCACCACCAUAUAGCUAGUGGGAAAUUCUCAUUAUAUAACUUGGCUUGUAUAUUCCAAUGAUAGGCUUCCUCAAAAUUGCCUUAGGUCUUCGUGAGCAAGCAAGUUGGAUGCACACCCACUAGUUUUCUUUAAGAGCUUUCACAUACUUGUAGCUCUAGUGCAUCAUUUGUAUGGCAAUCCCUACUCAUUCACAUUGGUAUCUAUUGAUGAGCAUCUCCACAGCUCAUUUAUAUGCCUAGUUAAUGUGACUAUCUUCUCCUUUUUGUCUUGCAACCUCCACCACAUUUCACCCAUCUAUAGUGCUAUAACCAUGUCUCACGCUCAUGUAUUGCGUGAGAGUUGAAAAUGUUUGAGAAAGUAAAGGUGUGAAACAAUUACUUGGCCAAUACCGGGGAUGUGCAUGAUUUAAAUUCGUUGUGCAAUGAUGAUAGAGCAUAGACAGACUAUAUGCUUUUGUAGGGAUAAGUUUCUUUUGGCCUUGUUAUUUUGAAAGUUCAUGAUUACUUUGCUAGUUUGCUUGAAUUAUUAUUGUUUCCACGUCAAUAGCAAACUAUUGUUUUGAAUCUAAUGGAUCUGAACAUUCACGUCACAUAAGAGGAAUUACAAAGGACACCUAUGCUAGGUAGCAUGAAAGCAUCAAAAAUUCAUUCUUAUCACUUCCCUACUCGAGGACGAGCAUGAGUUAAGCUUGGGGAUGCUUGAUACGUCUCAAACGUAUCUGUAAUUUUUGAUGGUUUCACGCUGUUAUCUUGCCUUCUUUGUAUGUUUUAUGUACCUUUUUAUAUCUUUUUGGGACUAACUUAUUAAUUAAGUGCCAAGUGCCAGUUCCUGUUUUUUCCGUGUUUUUGACUCUUUUCAGAUCUGAUUUUGGAACGGAAUCCAAACGGAAGAAAAACCCCGAAAUGAUUUUUUCCCGAACGGAAGAAGUCCAGGGGGCUUUUGGGCCAAGCCAGGUGGGCUCCAGGGAGCCCACAAGACCCCACUCCGCCACCAGGGGGACACGGCGGUGGGCAGGCUUGUGGCCUCCCUGGCCGCCCCCUGACCUAGGUCUUUGGCCUAUAAAUUCCCAAAUAUUCCGCAAAAAAUCAGGGGAGCCUCGAAAAUACUUUUCUGCCGCCGCAAGCUUCCGUUUCCGCGAGAUCUCAUCUGGAGACCCUUCCCGGCACCCUACCGGAGGGGACUUUGGAGUUGGAGGGCUUCUUCAUCAUCAUCGUCGCCCCUCCAAUGACUCGUGAGUAGUUCACUUCAGACCUACGGGUCCGUAGUUAGUAGCUAGAUGGCUUCUUCUCUCUCUUGGAUCUUCAAUACAAAGUUCUUCAUGAUCUUCAUGGAUAUCUAUUCGAUGUAAUAUUUUUUGGCGGUGUGUUUGUCGAGAUCCGAUGAAUUGUGGACUUGUGAUCAGAUUAUCUAUGAUAUAUAUUUGAGUCUUUGCUGAUUUCUUAUAUGCAUGAUUUGAUAUCCUUGUAACUCUCUCCGAGUCUUGUGUUUUGUUUGGCCAACUAGAUCUAUGAUUCUUGCAAUGGGAGAAGUGCUUGGUUUUGGGUUCUGCCAUGUGGUGACCUUUCCCAGUGACAGUAGGGGCAGCAAGGGACACAUCAAGCAGUUGCCAUCAAGGGUAAAAAGAUGGGGUUUUUAUCAUUGGUUUGAGAUUAUCCCUCUACAUCAUGUCAUCUUGCUUAAGGCGUUACUCUGUUCUUAUGGACUUAAUACACUAGAUGCAUGUGUGGAUAGCGGUCGACGUGUGGAGUAAUAGUAGUAGAUGCAGAAAGUAUCGGUCUACUUGUUUCGUACGUGAUGCCUAUAGAAAUAAUCAUUGCAUAGAUAUCGUCAGGACUCUACACAGUUCUAUCAAUUGCUCGACAGUAAUUUGUUCACCCACGUCUACUUGCUUUCAUGAGAGAAGCCACUAGUAAACACUACGGCCCCCGGGUCUAUUCACAUCCAUCGUUUACAUCUCCGCUUUUACCUUGCUUUGUGACUUUGUUUCUUUCAGUUCUCACUUGGCAAACAAUCUAUAAGGGAUUGACAACCCCUUCAUAGCGUUGGGUGCAAGCUUUUGUGUUUGUGCAGGAUCUUGAGAUACUCUUCCGCCGGAUUGAUACCUUGGUUCUCAAACUGAGGGAAAUACUUACCGUCGCUGUGCUACAUCACCAUUUCCGCUUAGAGGGAACACCACCGCAAGGCUCAAAGGCCACGGGGGAAAUCCUUUGCAUACUUGCCUAGGAAGUCCCUUAAGGCGUAGCCGUAGCUGAAGGAUUCCUGGUGCCGUCUACACAACUAUUUCUGGCGCCUUUGCAAGGGAUACACAGCAAACAUCAGAACCCAAAGCGGAAAAGUGCGUCUUCAUAGGUUACCCAAAAGAGACAGUUGGGUACACAUUCUAUCUCAGAUCCGAGGGCAAAGUGUUUGUUGCUAAGAACGUAGCUUUUCUUGAGAAGGAGUUUCUCUCGAAAGAAUUGAGUGGGAGGAAGAUCGAACUUGAUGAGGUUGUGGAACCUCUGCUCCCUGUAGAUGGUGGCAUAUGGCAGAGAGAAAUUUGUGUUGAGGCAACACCGGUUGAGGAGGAAGCUAAUGAUGGUGAUCAUAAAGCUUCGGAUCAAGUUACUGUCAGACCUCGCAGGUCAACAAGAUCAUGUACUGCUCCCGAGUGGUACUAGAAUCCUGUCUUAUCUAUCAUGUUGUUAGAAAACAAUGAGCCCGCGAAUUAUGAAGAAGCAAUGGUGGACCUGGAUUCCGACAAAUGGUUAGAGGCCAUGAAGUCCGAGAUAGGAUCUAUGUAUGAAAACAAAGUAUGGACUUUCGAAGUAUUACAUGAAGGUCGCAAGGCUAUUCAGAACAAAUGGAUCUUUAAGAAGAAGACGGAUGCGGACGGUAAUGUGACCGUUUAUAAAGCUCGACUUGUGGCAAUGGGUUUUUCACAAGUUCAAGGAGUUGACUACGAUGAGACAUUCUCACCGGUAGCGAUGCUUAAGUCCGUCCAAAUCAUGUUAGCAAUACUUGCAUAUUUCGAUUAUGAAAUCUAGCAGAUGGAUGUGAAAACGGUGUUCCUUAAUGGUUUUCUUAAGGAAGAGUUGUAUAUGAUGCAACCCGAAGGUUUUGUCGAUCCGAAGAAUGCUAACAAAGUAUGCAAGCUCCAGCGAUCCAUUUAUGGACUGCUGCAAAUCUCAGAGUUGGAAUAAGCGCUUCGAUGAGGUGAUCAAGGCAUUUGGGUUUAUACGAGUUGUUGGAGAAUCUUGGAUUUCCAAGAAAGUGAGUGGGAGAUCUGUAGGAUUUCUAAUAUUAUACGUGGAUGACAUAUUGCUGAUUGGAAACAAUGUGGAGUUUUUAGAGAGCGUAAAGGAUUACUUGAACAAAUGUUUUUCAAUGAAAGACCUAGGAGAAGCUGCUUACAUAUUGGGCAUUAAGAUCUAUAGGGAUAGAUCGAGGCGCCUAAUAAGACUUUCACAAAGCACAUACCUUAAUAAAGUUAAAAAUGGAGCAGUCCAAGAAGGGUUCUUGCCAGUGUUACAAGAUAUAAAGUUGAGUAAGACUCAGUGUCCAGUAAGUGCGGAAGAUAGAGAAAAGAUGAGUACCGUCCCCUAUGCUUCAACCAUUGGGUCUAUCAUGUAUGCAAUGUUGUGCACGAGACUGGACGUCAGCCUGGCCACAAAUAUGGCAGGCAGGUUUCAAAGUGAUCCAGGAGUGGAAUACUGGGCGGCGGUCAAGAAUAUUCUGAAGUACCUGAAAGGACUAAUGAAUGUUUCUCGUUUAUGGAAGUGAUGAAGAGCUCGUCGUAAAGGGUUACGUCGAUGCAAGCUUUGACACUGAUCCGGAUGACUCUAAUUCUCAAACGAGAUACGUAUUUAUUCUCAAUGGGGUGCGGUAAGCUGGUGCAGUUCCAAGUAAAGCGUCAUAGCAGAUUCUACAUGUGAAGCGGAGUACAUGGCUGCAUUGAAGGAAGCUAAGGAAGGUGUCUGGAUGAAGCAGUUCAUGACGGAUCUUGGAGUUGUGCCGAGCACACUAAAUCCAAUAACUCUGUUCUGUGACAACACUGGUGCCAUUGCUCUAGCAAAGCAACCAAGGUUUCACAAGAAGACCAGACACAUCAAACGACGCUUCAACCUCAUCUGCGACUAUGUCGAAGGAGAGGACGUAAAUAUUUGCAAAGUGCACACGGAUCUGAAUGUUGCAGAUCCGCUGACUAAACAUCUUCCACGAGCGAAGCAUGAUCAACACCAGAACAGUAUGGGUCUUAGAUUCAUUCCAAUGUAAAUCGCAUAGCGAUGUGAGACUAGAUUACUUACUCUAGUGCAAGUGGGAGACUAUUGGAAAUAUUCCCUAGAGGCAAUGAUAAAAUAGUUAUUAUUACAUUUCCUGUUUCAAGAUAAUCGUUUAUUAUCCAUGCUAUAGUUGUAUUGAAUGAACACAUAAAUGCACGUGUGGAUAUAUAGAGAAAACAAUGUCCCUAGUAAGCCUCUAGUUGACUAGCCAGUUGAUCAUGGAUGGUUAAGGUUUUCUGACCAUAUGCAAGUGUUGUCACUUGAUGAAUGGAUCACAUCAUUAGGAGAAUGAUGUGAUGGACAAGACCCAAACUAUAAACGUAGCAUGUGAUUGUGUUACUUUGUUGCUAUUGUCUUCUGCGUGUCAAGUAUUCAUUCCUAUGACCAUGAGAUCUUGUAACUCACUGCCACCAGAGGAAUACCUUGUGUGUAUCAAACGUCGCAACGUUACUGGGUGACUAUAAAGGUGCUCUAUAGGUAUCUCUGAAGGUGUCCAUUGAGUUAGCAUGGAUCACCACUAGGAUUUGUCACUCCGUGUGACGGAGAAGUAUCUCGGGGCCCACUCGGUAAUACAACAUCACAUAUAAGCCUUGCAAGCAAUUUGACUCAAGUGUUAGUCACUGUAUCUUGUAUUACGGAAGGAGUAAAGAGACUUGCCGCUAACGAGAUUGAAAUAGGUAUAGGGAUACCGACGAUCAAAUCUCGGGCAAGUAACAUACCAGAGGACAAAGGGAAUGGUAUACAAGAUUAUAUGAAUCCUUAGCACAGAGGUUCAACCGAUAAGAUAUUUGUAGAAUAUGUAGGAUCCAACAUGGACAUCCAGGUCCCGCUGUUGGAUAUUGACCGGGGAGUGUCUCAGGUCAUGUCUGCAUAGUUCUCGAACUCGCAGGAUCUGCACACUUAAGGUUCGAUGACGUUUCGGUAUAGUUGAGUUAUAGGUGUUGGUGGACAAAGUUUGUUCGUAGUCCCAUAUGAGAUCAAGGAUGUCACAAAGGGUUUCCAGAAUGGUCUGAAAAUGAAGAUUGAUAUAUAGGAUUGUUUCAUUUGGCCUCCAGAAAGAUUUCUGGUAUUACCGGCAGUGUACCGGGAGUGACGAAUGGGUUCUGGGUCUUUACCGGGAGGGACCCACCUACCCGGGAGAGAACCCAAUAGCCUAAGGGUUGCUCACCAGCCCUUAGUGGGCUGGUGAGGCCAGCCCAAGUGGGUUAUGUCGGCUAGAAGGAAAAAAUCAAAGGAAAAAAAGAGGGAGGUGGGAAGGAAGGAGGGGAUUCAUCCCCUUCCAAAUCGAAUUGGAGUUGGAAUCUCCUCCUCCUUUCUCGGCCGACGCCCUAGGGGCUCUCUUGAGCCCCAAGGCUAGCCCCUCCCCUCCUCCUAUAUAUACUAGAGAUUUUAGGGUUUUUGAGACACAACUUUUGCCACGUGCAACCCUAAACCUCUACUUCGUAGUUCUUCCUCUAGAACGGGUUUCUGUGGAGCUCGGGCAGAGCCCAGCAGGAAUAGAUCAUCACCAUCACCGGCGCGUCGUCACGCUGCCAGAGAACUCAUCUACAUCCCCAUCUCUCUUGCUGGAUCAAGAAGGCUGAGAUCAAAAUCGAGUUGUACGUGUGCUGAACGCGGAGGUGUCGUCCGUUCGGCUCUAGUUCGGAACGGAUCGUGGGACGACAGUGAUUUGAAUCAUGAAGCUGUUCCACUACAUCAACCACGUUUCUUAAUGCUUCCCGCUGAGCGAUCUACAAGGGUAUGUGGAUCCGAUCUCCCUCUCAUAGAUGAACAUCACCAUGAUAGGUCUUCGUGUGCGUAGGAAAUUUUUUGUUUCCCAUGCAACGUUCCCCAACAUGUUUUUCACGUGCUGUUUUUUGCAAGUAACUCUCCAUCAAGUCACUGUAAUUGAGAAGUGAUAUACAGAUGUAAAGCUAUUGUAAACACACAACUUUUUUGUGUUGAUGCUGUUGUUUCAUACUCGCGACGGUUUAAAAUAUAUUCAUAUGACAUUCAUGCAGUGUAUUAGUUGACCUUCCCCGAGUGCUAGGUUGAACUUCCACUAAUAUUGUCCAAAUGGGGCUUGCAAUAUAUAGUUGGAAAGCUAUGGGCACCAUGAUAACAACCUAGGUUGAAUUUUUGUCAAAAUGUUCAUGGUUUAAGAGCUGUUUUGAAAACCGUUUUUGUUCAUACAAAAAAGGUGAAUCGUGUUAUCAAGGCUAUUUCUAAACCGUUCGUGGGAAUGAGACUAAUGAGAUUGCUAUAAAUCCUCUCAUUUCAUAUGUUUAAAGUUUUCCCAAUUUUCCUACGGUUAAAGAGGAAUUUCAAAAAUGGCGGAAUUUCUGAAACCGAAAAGUUGGGUACAUAUUUCGGGGUUAAUUUGAAAAUGGCUAGUACGAUAGACACAAAUGAUAUGUCGUUAGAAACUUAUGAAAAUGUGCAUAUUUUAUUAUAAAUAGUUUCUUCUACUAUUAACGGUUUAAAAGUAAUUUAGAAAACGGCACAAGUUGUACCGAGUUCGUAUUUUAGCGUUAACUUCACAAUGGUUUGUCGGAACGGAGCAAAUGAUCUCACGUUGGAAAGAUAAUGAAAUACGACACUUUUAUAUGUAGAUUUUUUUCCAAUUACUUAUGGUUUUUAGUCAGUUUUAAAAAUGGGUAAAAAUGUUUUUUGGCCGCAGGUUUUACAAACUUUAUCAAAAUGGGUCAAAUAAUAUACCGCUGAAAAGCUACAGUAAAUGAAAAAAAAUGAUGUAGAUAGUUUUCUCUCAUUCCUAGCCGUUUUUAAGGCAUCUUGAAAACAAUGAGAUCAUGCGUUCUUCCUGUAUUGUGAAAAAGAUUCUUGGAAAAUGCACCGCGUGAAGAACGUGAUCUUCUCGGCUUGUCUCCAUGAACUUCACUUUGUUUUUUCACGUGUUGUUUUUUAUAGUACACUCCAUCCACUCACCGGAAUUGAGAAAAUGAUAUACCGAUGGAAAACUGCUGUAAAUACGCAACUUUUCCAUGUUGGGGAUUUGUUCAUACCCGGGGUAGUUUAAAAUAUUUUCAUGUGAAAUUCAUGCAGUGUAGUAGUUUAACUUUCCGCUGUUUUCACAUCGAACUUCUAUCGCGUAUUUUCGUUUGUAAUUUCUCACCCAUUUGUCGGUGUUACACAAAUGAUAUUCCUUUUGUACAUACCUGUCUCACAAUAAUUGUUUUUCACUUUCUCCAACCGAGGACUUGAAUUUAUAGCAACAAAAAAUGUGGACCUUGGCUUUUUAUUCAUUUUUGUCACACCAAACACACACCAUGUAGUACGUGAACUUUCUCCAUUUUUUUAAUUUCAAUUUUUGAAUUUUUUUAAAUCGAAUUACUCCCAAAUAAUAGCUAAAAUUAUUUGUGGGUUCAGAGAAUUAUUAUAAAUAGAAAAAAUAAUUUCUUUUUCUGUUUUUGAACAUGGAAAUACAAGGUGAACCUAUCUUGCAAGCAUUUUUGAACUCACACGGGCCGAGCACGUGAACUUCUUUCAACAAACCUUUUAAGCUUUUAUAUUCCUAUUCGCUUAUUCUCAUAUGAAACACAUUCCUUGUAGUACUUAGACUUCUCACUGUUUUCACUAUGAACUUUUGUCAUGUUUUUUGUUUGUAAUUCCUCAACCGCUCCUUGGAGUUACACAAAUGAUGUACCAUUAGAAAAUCCAUUGAAAAGAAACAACUUUUUCUAAUACGGUUAACUUUUCUUUUUGAACAACAUACAACAAUUUUUCAUGGAUUGAGAGACUUACUGAAAAACACCAAAAGAACACUUCUUUGAACUUCAACCAAAACUCAAUUAUAUUUUAAACAUCACAACGAAUAGUAGCUAUUUGAAAAAAUUUCAAAUUAGUUACAUGUGUAUUUUUUUGGAUCAUUGUAGUUUCAAAAAAACAUAGGCACAUAAGGGAGAGAGAAUUAUGUAUGCAUAAAGUGGAUAGCAAUUUUGAAAUUUCCCUUGCCAAGAACUUGAACUUCUAGCAGCAAAAGUUUACAUUUUGUGAGUUGGUUUUAAAAAUUCCAAAAAUGGCGAUGGGUUUUGUUUUUGUUUUUUGAACAAGCAAAUCCUAGGUUCUAAUAAACACUAAAUUUUGUGUCAUUUUAAUUAGAACUUCAUAUUGGUUUUAUUUUCUAAUAGCGGUUAGAAUUCGAGAUUUUAAUAAACAUUGAACCGCUCCAUUAUAUGAAAUUGAACUUCUAGGUCUUUUUAGAAAUGGAUAAAUAGAUUUACUAAUUAAACUUUUUAAACUAUUUUUGUUAUUUAAUUUGGUCUUCCGUUGUGUGUAUUUUGAUGGUGCGUACCUUUUUUGUUAGAACAUGUUCGUAUAAACGUAGUCUAUUAAAAUUCUUUCACUUAUAGGCUAGUUCUAAUACAUGAUAUUUCUACACAAUGAUCUAUGAACUUCUCUUAACAUAAAUUUCAUUGAGCAUUUUUCUAACCACGAAACAUACAUGAAGGAGGUUGAGGUUGUGCAUGCGAGAUGCAUCACCAUGUAGGAAAGUUUCGGGAGCUCUUUUAACAAUGCAGGGUCAAAAGUAGUCUCACAUCCAUCAAACUUCAUAACCACGAGUUUUGAACUUGCAAAAAUGUUAAAAUGAAGACUUAUUUUUCCUAGUAAAUGUAGUCCUAAAUAGACAGGAUAAGAGUCAGCAAGCACAACAGUACUGGUGCAUUACAUAUUCCCAGCGAUACGAGUUGUUGUUUGGUCCUAUCUCUUCUUCAACAACUUAAAAAAAAAUAAGUACUAUCAAUCACAUCACCCAGACUCACAAACAGGGCACACCAUAUGAUUUUUAGGAUACCUAGUAUGAGUGAUAAUGGAAAAAAAUAAUAAGCUUCGUAGUAUACUGAUCAAAAUGUUGAAGUACACACAAGAGACCUUCAGCUUCAGAUAACAAUAUGUUGUCUCAGAAAUUAUCUAAUCAAUCAUGUAGAAGCUAAGAAAUUAAAACAAAGAGAAAAAAAUCUCCCUAAAUGUACUAAAAACAUCUCUGAACCUUUCUUCAUAAUCACUCUCAACUUCAAUCCUCCUCAAACCACGUGAUUUUCUGCUACAAAAUAGGACGAGUUGUUCCUUGUGGUGCUACCACAUAACUAACCUGUGAUCGAGCUUGUGUUCAUGAAUAUCUCCACCGCUGAGAUUGAAAGUUGAACGACCUAAUGCUAUGUUAUGUUAGUUCUAUACAAUCCAAGAGCCAUCCAUUGCAGAGCAUCAAAGUUAAAGGGGCCUAUAGAGCUACAAAAUUGAACAAUUUGGACACGCGGUGGCAAAUGGACUAGACAAACAACAGUAUAUAACAUUUUGUGCACUUUUGCAGAAGACUUCUUGGCAUAAAAGCUUGAAUUCACAGGAAAUGUUUCCAUACAAUUUUUUUUUCUGAUUUUGCACACAACGCGUUUGUGAGUGCAUGCGAGAGAAGCAUAAAAAAACAACUUGAUGUCCCUUUAGAGUCAACUUCUUCAACAAGUCACUUUGAAUUUCACAUAAACAAAUUGAAAAAAAUAAAACUACAGUACCACAACCAUUCUCAUCUAUUUAAGUUAUAUUUCCAUUCACUUAGAAUAUAGUGCUACCUCGACUUUAGAUUCAAAUUUCAACAAUUAAGGAAUACUUGAAGAAAACAGUCUAGUAUUUUGUUGGCAUUUCAACACAUACGUGGAUGGCAUAAAGGUUGAGGUGCAAGUGAACAACUUGAACUUCUCCAACGCUAAUGCCAGUUGCAAUAACUUGCAUUACACACACCGUAUGUAUCAGAUUAUUGUGAUUUAGGGGCACAAAAAAGAAAUUUCAUGAACAGGAGAUGAAACUGUAACCGUAGAUCAAUCACCGUUAAUUACUGAUAUGUCUUCAUCGUAUUUACUUUUUCUAAUGCCUUUUCUUUUGUUUUGGACCCUAAUUUGCAUGAUUUGAAUAAAAGUAACCCAGACUAACGCUGUUUUCAGUAGAACUCCCAUGACGUUGUUUUUGUGGAGAAAUAAAAGUUCUCGGAAUUAGACGAAACUUUCUGGAGCAUUUUUGUGGAAUAAAAGAAAAAUACUGGAACCAAGACCUACUAAGAGGGGGGCCCAGACACCCACUAGUCACCAGGAUGCGCCACCCCCUACCGCAGAUUGGUGGGUGGUGGGGCCCUUGGGGCUCCACUGACCCUAACUCUAGCACUAUAAAAUCCUAUAUUUGGAGAAAAAAUAGGAUAGGAAGGUUCAUCAUGUUUCAUGAUAUGGAGCCGCCGCCACCUCAUCUUCUUCAUCGUUGGGCCAAAUCUGGAGUUCUUUUGCGGCUCAAAAGAGGGGAAUCUUUGGUCUUUGUCAUCAUCAACCCUCCUUCAUCGCCAAUUCCAUGAUGCUCUCCACCAGAGUGAGUAAUUCCUUCGUCGGCUUGCUGGUCGGUGAGAAGCUGGAUGAGAUUCAUCAUGUAAUCGAGUUAGUUUCAUUAGGGCUUGAUCCCUGGUAUCCACUAUGUUGGGAGACAGAUGUUGCUAUGACUUUGCCAUGCUUAAUGCUUGUCACUAGGGCCUGAGUGCCAUGAUUUCAGAUCUGAACUAUUUAUGUUUUCACCAUUAUAUCUAUGUUCUUGAUCCGAUCUUGGAACUUAUAUGCAACUACUAUGUGUUAGGAUCCGCAUACCCCAAAGUGACAAUAAUUGGGAUACUUUUCGAUAAUUACCGUAGUAUGAGGAGUUCAUGUAUUCACUAUAUGUUAAUGCUCUGUUCCAGUUCUCUAUUAAAAGUAGGCCUUAAUAUCCCUUAGUUUCCUUAUGGACCCCGCCACCACGGUAGGGUAGGACAAAAGAUGUCAUGGAAGUUCUUCUCGAUAAGCACGUAUGACUAUUUACGGAAUACAUGCCUAAAGUAUAUCGAUGAACGGGAACUAGUUCUGUAUCGCCAUAUGUUACGACUAAUUCAUGAUGAAUAUCAUCCAACAAUAUCACUGAUCGAGUGCCUACGAGUUUUCCACAUAUUGUGCUUGCUAAGUUACUACUGUUGCUACUGUUGUUACAACUGCUACAAAAUUGUUAUCGCUAUUACCAUUAUUGUUGCUACUCUUACCACUUAUAUCAAAACUAUCAUAUUACUGUGCUACUGAUCACUGUGCUGCAGAUACUAAAUCUCCAAGUGUGGUUGAAUUGACAACUCAACUUCUAAUACCUGCAAAUAUUAUUUGGCUCCCCUUGUGUCGAAUCUAUAAAUUUGGGUUGAAUACUCUACCCUCGAAAACUAUUGCGAUCCCAUAUACUUGUGGGUUAUCAAGAAUGUUUUCUGGCACCGUCGCCAAGGAGCAUAGCUAUAAUUGUUGAGUGACUUUGGAUAUCUAUUUAUUGAUCACUAUGAAGAAUCUAAAAGAUACGAGAACCAAGAUCAUUCCCUCUAAGAUGACGGGUGGUAAGGAACUGCCAUCUAGCUUAGCACUUGAUUCACCUUGUGUUUUGAAUAAUCUUGCAACACCACCAUCACAUGCUAUUAAUCCUAAUAUGUUGCAAGUUAUUGUUGAUGUUACCUAUGCUAUGAAUGAUACUAAUGAUGAUGCUAGUACCUUGCUCGAUGAUACUGCACCAUUAGGUGAAUUUCUUGAUGAACAACUUGCUAGAGCUAAAGAAAUUUAACAUGCUAAAACUGAUGAAGUCUCUGAAACUGAAAAUAUUGAAACACCUUUGUGACAUGACUAUCCUAGAAUUAAAAUGCCUGAAGUACAUGAAGGUUAUGUUAUGGAUGAAUAAAUAGCUAGAGACUUUUUUGCUUGUGAGGAUAGAUAAUAUCUUAAGAAACUACUCUGCAAGUAGAAAGAAAAACCCUUGAAUGCUAGAAUGAAAUAUAAUCCUAAGUUUUCUAAUUCACCUAUCUUUGUUACCGAUAAGGAUUAUGAAUUCUCUAUCGACCGAGAGAUAAUUACUUUGGUUAAAUCUGAUCCUUUUCGUGGCUAUGAAAAUUAAACUCUUGUGGCACAUCCCACUAAGUUAAAUGAUAUAACCACCCUAUUUACUCAUGAUGAGAAAAAUCGGUACUACUAUAUUCUAAAAUUAUUUUCGUUCUCAUUGAAGGGUGAUGCUAAGAUUUGGUACAAUACUCUUACUCCUGGUUGUGUGUGUAGUCCCCAGGAUAUGAUUCACUACUUCUCUAAAAAGUAUGUUCCUACUCAUAAGAAACAAGUUGCCUUACAAGAAAUAUUUAACUUUGUGAAUAUUGAAGAAGAGAGUCUCCAACAAGCUUGGGGAGGCUUUUCCAAUUAAUUAAUGCUUUGCGUGAUUAUCCUCUUAAUAAGAAUGAAAUACUUGAUAUAUUUUAUAAUGGACUAACCGAUGCUUUUAGGGACCACUUAGAUAGUUGUGAUGUUUGUGUUAUCAGGGAACAAACUAUCGAACAAGCUGAGGAGUUAUUGACUAAUAUAUUCAAGAAUUGGGACGAAUGGACACUUCCUGAGCCACCACCUAAAUCUACUCCACAGAAGAGGGGUAUCUUAUUCCUUAGUCUUGAAACUAUGCAUGAGGCAAAGAAAUGUAUGAUGGAAAAAAUGCAUUAAAGCUGAAGAUGUUAAGAAUUUACCACCCGUCAAAGAAAUACAUGGUCUCAACACACCACCAUAGGUGGUGGAGGUAAAUUCUCUUUUAAAGUUUGCUGAAGGUGACAUCCCUUACAAUAAACAUCCUAGUCAAUGCUUAUAUGAGUUUGAUAAUUAUAUUAGGAAGCAAGAUCAUUUGAAAAUCCUAUGUUAUGAAACAACUGAGACAAAACUUGGAUAUGAUUGCUCGCUUAAGUGACUUGCUAUUUAGAAUAACCAAUGAUGUAGGAGGUGUAGGAAAACAUGCUCCUAUGGUUCAACUCAACUAGAACAAGUUACUGUUGGAGAACGUUGCCUGGGAAACAAAAAAUUUCCUACGCACACGAAGACCUAUCAUGGUGAUGUCCAUCUACGAGAGGAGAUUUGGAUCUAUGUACCCUUGUAGAUCACACAGCAGGAAGAGUUAAGAAACUCGGUUGAUGUAGUGGAACGUCCUCACGUCCCUCGAUCUGCCCCGCAAACCGUCCCGCGAUCCGUCCCACGAUCCGCUCUGAUCUAGUGCCAAACGGACAACACCUACACAUUCAACACACGUACAGCUCGAUGAUGAUCUCGUCCUUAUUGAUCCAGCAAGCAAGAUGGAGAAGUAGAUGACUUCUCCAGCAGUGUGACAGUGCUCCGGUGGUGGUGAAGGAUCUACUCAUGCAGGGCUCCGCCCGAGGUCCGCAGAAAUACGAUCUAGAGGUAAAACUAUGAUGUCUAGAUCUGAGUUGCACGUGGCAAAAUUUGUCUCAAAUCAUCCCUACAUCACCACUACAUAUAGGAGGGAGGGGGAGGAGGCUUGCCUUGAGGGCCAAGCCCUCAAGUGUGCGCCGGCUAGGGAGGAGGAGGAGUCCUACUCCAAUCCUAGUCCAACUAGGAUUGGAAAGUGGAGUCCUUCUCUGCCUUCCCACCUUUCUUUUUUUCUUUCUCUUUGGUUUUUCUUUCCUUGGCGCUAGGCCCUCUUGGGCUAUUCCACCAGCCCACUAAGGGCUGGUGCGCCACCCCUAGGGCCUUUGGAAUUCCCCCGGGUGGGUUGCCCCCCUCCCCGUGAACAUCCAGAACCCAUUCGUCACUCCCGGUACAAUCCCGGUAAUGCGCGAAAACCUUCGUCUUCGGACCAUUCCAGAAACCCUCGUGACGUCUGUGAUCUCAUCCGGCACUCCAAACAACAUUCGAUAACCACACAUAUAACUCAACCAUACUAAAACAUCGUCGAACCUUAAGUGUGCAGACCCUGCCGGUUCGAGAACUAUGUAGACAUGCCCUGAGGCACUCCUCGGUCAAUAUCCAAUAGCGGGACCUAGAUGCCCAUAUUGUAUCCUACAUAUUCUCCGAAGAUCUUAUCGGUUGAACCUCAGUGUCAAGGAUUCAUAUAAUCCUGUAUGUCAUUCCCUUUGUCCUUCAGUAUGUUACUUGCCCGAGAUUCGAUCGUCGGUAUCCGCAUACCUAUUUCAAUCUCGUUACCGGCAAGUCUGUUUACUUGUUCCAUAAUACAAGAUCCCGUGACUUACACUUAGUCACAUUGCUUGCAAGGCUUGUGUGUGAUGUUGCAUUACCGAGUGGGCCCCGAGAUACCUCUCCGUCACACGGAGUGACAAAUCCCAGUCUUGAUCAAUACUAACUCAACGGACACCUUCGGAGAUACCUGUAGAACACCUUUCUAGUCACCCAGUUACGUUGUGACGUUUGAUGCACACAAGGUAUUCCUCCGGUGCCAGUGAGUUAUAUGAUCUCAUGGUCAUAGGAACAAAUACUUGACACGCAGAAAACUAUAGCAAUAAAACGACACGAUCAAUAUGCUACGUUCAUAGUUUGGGUCUAGUCCAUCACAUGAUUCUCGUGAUGAUGUGAUCCAGUUAUCAAGCAACAACAGUUUGCACAUAGUCAGAAAACCUUGACUAUCCUUGAUAAACUAGCUAGCCAACUAGAGGCUUGCUAGGGACAUUGUUUUGUCUAUGUAUCCACACAUGUAUCUAUGUUUUCAUUCAAUACAAUUAUAGCAUGGAUAAUAAAUGAUUAUCUUUAAACAGUAAAUAUAAUAAUUAUUAUUUAUCAUGGCCUCUAGGGCAUAUUUUCAACAGUUACUAAGUCUCAAAGUGAGCUACUUCAUGAAAUGAAUAAUAAUAUGAAUGAUCAUAAUGUUAGAAUAAUAACUAGAGCAGGAACAAUGACUUCAGAUCCACUAUAUCAAGAAGGUCAUUCUAAAAGACCUGAACAAGAUUCACAAAGAAUUAAUAUUGAUGCACCUAGUCCUUCUGGGAAGAAAAAGAAAAAGAAAAAUUAUACAUACUUCUAAUGAACUUAAAUUAGAUAAACCUUCUCAUAAUGCUAAUUUUACCUCUAUCUCUGAUGCUCAAACUCAAUCUCGUAGUGAACAUUCACCUAGUGAUAGNNNNNNNNNNNNNNNNNNNNNNNNNNNNNNNNNNNNNNNNNNNNNNNNNNNNNNNNNNNNNNNNNNNNNNNNNNNNNNNNNNNNNNNNNNNNNNNNNNNNNNNNNNNNNNNNNNNNNNNNNNNNNNNNNNNNNNNNNNNNNNNNNNNNNNNNNNNNNNNNNNNNNNNNNNNNNNNNNNNNNNNNNNNNNNNNNNNNNNNNNNNNNNNNNNNNNNNNNNNNNNNNNNNNNNNNNNNNNNNNNNNNNNNNNNNNNNNNNNNNNNNNNNNNNNNNNNNNNNNNNNNNNNNNNNNNNNNNNNNNNNNNNNNNNNNNNNNNNNNNNNNNNNNNNNNNNNNNNNNNNNNNNNNNNNNNNCUAUCACUAGGUGAAUGCUCACUUCGAGAUUGAGUUUCAGCAUCACAGAUAGAGAUAUCAUUAGCAUUAAGAGAAGGUUUCUCUAAUUUAGGUUCAUUAGAAGUAUGUAUCAUUUUUCUUUUUCUUUUUCUUCCUAGAAGGACUACGUGCAUCAAUUUUAAUUCUUCGUGAAUCUUGUUGAGUUCUUUUAGGAUGACCUUUUGGAUAUAGUGGAUUUUGAGUCAUUGUUCCUCCUCUAGUCAUUACCCUAACAACAUGAUCAUCCAUAUUAUUAUUCAUUUCGUGAAGUAGCUCACUUUUAGACUUAGCAACUUGUUCUAGUUGACAUUGAACCAUAUAAGCAUGUUUUCCUACACCUCUUACAUCAUUGGUGAUACUAAAUAAGAAGUCACUUAAGCAAGCAAUCAUACCAGAGUUUUGUUUCAAUUGUUUCAUAAUAUAGGAGUUGAAAUGAUAUUGAUUUCUAAUAUAAUUAUUAAACUUAUGUAAGCAUUGACUAGGAUGUUUACUGUAAGGGUUAUCACCUUCAUUAGACUUUAAAAUAGAAUUUACCUCCACCACCUGUGGUGGUGUGCUGAGACCAUGUAUUUCUUUGAUAGGUGGUAAAUUCUUAACAUCUUUAGCUUUAGUGCAUUUUUCCUUCAUACAUUUCUUUGCCUCUUGCAUAGUUUCAGGACUAAGUAAUAAUAUACCCCUCUUCUUUGGAUUAGCUUUAGGCGGUGGUUCACGAAGUGUCCAUUCAUCAUGAUUCUUCAAUAUAUUAGUCAUUAACUCCUCAGUUUGUUUGACAGUUGGUUCCCUGAAAACACAACCAGCACAACUAUCUUGGUGGUCUCUAGAAGCUUUAGUUAAUCCAUUAUAAAAUAUAUCAAGUAUUUUAUUCUUCUUAAGAGGAUGAUCAGAUAAAGUAUUAAGUAACAAGAGAAGCCUCUCCCAAGCUUGUGGGAGAAUCUCUUCUUUAACUUGUACAAAGAUAAAUAUUUCCUGUAAGGCAACCUGUUUCUUAUGAGCAGGAAAAUAGUUUUCAAAGAAGUAGUAAAUCAUAUCCUGAAGUAAUUGGAGAAGCCUCCCUCAAGCUUGUGGGAGACUCUCUUCUUUAAUUUUACAAAGUUAAAUAUUUCGUGUAAGGUAGCUUGUUUCUUAUGAGUAGGAAAAUACUUUCAGAGAAGUAGUAAAUCAUAUCAUUGGGACUAGGCACAGAACCAGGAGAAAUAGUAUUGUACCAAAUCAUAGCAUCACCCUUUAAUGAGAAUGGAAAUAAUUUGAGAAUAUAGUAGUAGAAAAUUUUCUGAUCAUGAGUAAAUCGGGUGGCUAUGUCAUUUAACUUAGUGAGAAUCUUCAGGCAUUUUAAUUCUAGGAUAGUCAUGUCUAAAAGGUGUUUCAAUAUUUUCAGUUUUGAACACUUCAUCAGUUUCAGCAUGCUCAAUUUAUUUAGCUCUAGCAAGUUGUUCAUCAAGAAAUUCACCUAAUGGCACAGUAUCAUCAUUAUCAUCAUUCAUAUCAUAGGUAACAUCAUCAAUAACUUACGACAUAUCAGGAUUAAUAGCAUGUGGUGGUGGUGUUGCAAGUCUAUUCAAUACAGGGUGAAUCAAGUACAGAGCUAGAUGGCAGUUCCUUACGUCCCCUCGUCUUAGAGAGAACGAUCUUGGUUCUUCUAUCUUUCACAUUCUUCAUAGUGAUCAAUAAAUGGAUAUCCCAAAUGACUCAACAAAUAGAAGAACCAACAAUAGUAGCAACAAUAAUAACUUAGCAAGCAUAAUAUGUGGAAAACUCGUAGGCACUAGAUCAGUGAUAUUUCUCGAUGAUAUUCAUCAUUUAUCGGUCAUAACAUAGAGCGACACAUAACUAGCUCCCGUUCAUCGAUAUACUUUAGGCAUGUAAUCCGUAAAUAGUCACACGUGCUUAUGGACAAGAACAUGCAUGACAUCUUUUGUCCUACCCACCCGUGGUGGUGGGGUCCAUAAGGAAACUAAGGGAUAUUAAGGCCUUCUUUUGAUAGAGAACCGGAACAAAGCAUUAACACAUAGUGAAUACAUGAACUCCUCAUACUACGGUAAUCAUUAGAAAGAAUCCCAAUUAUUGUCACUUUGGGGGUAUGUAGAUCCUAACACGUAGUAGGUGCAUAUGACUUGCAAGAUCUGAUCAAGAACAUACAUAUAAUGGUUAAAACAUAAAUGGUUCAGAUUUGAAAUCAUGGCACCCGGGCCCUAGUAACAAGCAUUAAGCAUGGUAAAUUCAUAACAACAUCAAUCUCCGAACAUAGUGGAUACUAGGGAUCAAACCCUAACAAAACUAACUCGAUUACAUGACGAAUCUCAUUUAGCUCCUCACCGACUAGCAAGGCUACGAAGGAAUUACACAAUCCCCUUGCACAACAUCAUGGAAUUGGCGAUUAAGGAGAUUUGAUCAUGUCGAAGACCGAAGAUUCCCCACUUCGGAGCACCAAAUAGACUCCAGAUUUGGCCUCUCGAGGAAGAAGAGGAGGUGGCAGCGACUACGUAUCGUGAAUCGCAAUGAAACUUCCUCUCCUAUUUUUUCUCCAAAAAUAGGAUUUUAUUUUGGGGGAGAUAGGGCUAGCGGAGCCCUGAUGGCCUCACUACUCACCAUGCCGCACGAGGAGGGGGUGGCCCGCCCAGGUGCCUAGUGGGUGCUUGGGGCCUGUGCUCCAAUGGGUCUUGGUUCUAGUAUUUUUCUUUUAUUCCAUAAAAAACCUCUAGAAAGUUUUGUCCAAUUUCGGGAUUUUUUUUUAUUUCUGCACAAAAACAACACCAUGGUAGUUCUAGUGAAAACAGCGUCAGUUCGGGUGAGUUUCAUUCAAAUCAUGCAAAUUAUAGUCCAAAACAAGAGAAAAAUCAUUAGGAAAAGUAGAUAUGGUAAGAGAGCCAUCAGUUCAAAAACCCAUGCCUUAUCCACCCAAACCAACUAACAAAAAAGAUGAUGAGGAAUUUGAACGCUUUGUUGAAAUUAUUAGGCGGGUCUUUUUGCAUACGCGUUUAACUUUUCUUUCAAAGAUGUCCCAUUGUGCUAAGUAUAUGAAAGACAUCAUCACUAAGAAAAGAAAAAUACCUGAAGCUGAAAUCUCCACCAUACUUGCUAAUUACUCUUUAAAGGAUGAAGUACCUAAAAAACUAGGAGAUACAUGAAUACCAACUAUACCAUGUUCCAUCAAAAGAAACUACGUGAAAACUCCUUUAUGUGAUCUUGGAGAUGGUGUUAGUGUUAUGCCUUUUGCUUUAUAUAGAAUACUUGACUUGACAAACUCACACCUACUAAAAUUCCUUUGAAAUGGAUGACAAAUCUACUACCAUACCUAUCGGUAUUUGUGAGGAUGUAACCGUUGUUGUUGCCAAUGUUACUACCUUGACAGACUUGGUUAUACUUAAUAUGCCCAAGGAUGACAGCAUGUCGAUUAUCCUUGGUAGACCUUUCUUAAAUACUACAUGAGGUGUUAUUGAUUGCAACAAAAGAAAAGUCACUUUUCAUGUCAAUGUUAAAGAACAUACGGUGCAUUUUCCGAGGAAAUAAUUCCAAUUGAAUUGUGUUAAUGUUAUUGGAAAAUAUCUGACUAUCACGAAUGGAUGUUUUCAAAUACCUCAGCCCGCUGCCAAGAAUAAAUAUGGGAUACUUAUUGUUGGGGAUAUGCACAUCCCCGUUGAGGUAACUUAGUGUUUUACGAAAAUUCUUCGGGUUCAAGUUAAUUCGAAGUGGUUGUUAAUAAGGUAUGAUCAACCUUGUUAUGGAUCAUUUUCAAGAGGUAUGACGUUGAGGAAUUCAAUAGGCACAACUCUCUAUACCCACUUUAUUCUUCCUAUUAUUUUUAGUUGAAUACACUAAAUGUCAUGUUUAUCUUGUUUUCUGAAAUCUCUGUGCAACAAAAAAGUUCCCAAAAAUAAAAGUUCUUCAAAUGACCUGGAAUUUUCACACGAUGUUUUUUGAAUAUUUGAGAAUAUUUGGCACUUAACACAUCACAAUGGAUGUCCCAGGUGUCCACUGGGCACCAGGGCACACCACCCCCACAUGGCGUUCCUUUGCGGGUAGUAGGCCCCUCGUGGGCUGUCUCACUUAUCCCUUCAGCCCAUCUCAUCACUUACAUCGUGUGUUCUUUCUCUCAAACCCAUGUGUUUGAGCAUAUUUCUCCAUAUGUGGUUUUGGUAAUUGAUGACAAUCCUUAUGGACUAAGGGUUGCCUUAAGUUGUAUUUGAAGGAUUUGUCCAUAGGCACUUCAUGAAGUCCAUCUGUUGGUUUAAAGGAGUUUAUAUGAUGAGCAAGGUGGUAUUAAAGGUAUUAUCCAAAGAAUGGUCAUAAAUACACAAGGUUGAUCAAGACUAAGACAAAGAGUAAAUCAAGUUGAUCAACACACAAAGAGUACAAGAUGUACCGAGACGUAUCAAGUGACCCCACGGUGUGAUAAGCAUUGUCGAUUAUGCUUUUGUGUACUAACCCGUGGUCUUCACGAGAGUUCUAUGUGGGGUUAGGUGUGUUUCCAUGGGCUUGCGUCAGUAGGAAGUUCUCAUUCAACCCAUGAAGGAUGACAUCAAGUGAUGAUCGUCAUGAAGAUUGCGGUGUGCAAGUUCAAGAGGAGCAUCACGAAGAUAUCAUGCUUGAAAUUUGCUGUCCAUUGUGGUGGCAAUGUACUUGUGAAGAUGCACUGAAGAGUGGCUCACCCAUAGUGACUAUGGGGGAGCAAUCAACUUGUCUUCAUCAAGCCAAUGCAAUCAAUAAAGGUGGUCCAUCUUGGGGAAGUCAUGAUCAUCAUCAUCUAGCUCAAGCGGACUAUGUGCAAGGUAUUGGUUUGCCCUUGAUAGGUUUUUCUAUUUUAGGAUAGAUUGUCGUACUCUAAAGGGGGGCUCUCAAGUGAGUAGCUUGAUUGUAUCAUUCGUUGAGAGCUCAAACCAUUUGCAUCCUUGCAUCAUAUUUCUUAGUUGUUGUUUGGCGUUUCUCUUUGUGAGUUUUAGAGCUUAUGGUCAUCUUUAUGAGAAGCUCGAGUUCAUCGAAAACGGAGUUCAUGUCCAUUUUCUAUGGAGCUUUCGAUAUUGGAGUUUUUGUCGGUUCUUCAUUAUUUGAGGUUUCACAUCUCUAUAUCAUGGGGAUUUUCAUUACUGCAUAUUCAUAGAGUUUUCGAUAUAGCUGUUUGGAUAGUACUUGUUGUGUGCUAUCCGACAAGCUUGAGUUUCCUCAAUUUGGAGCUCGUAUGCGAAAGUAAUGGCAGUUCUGGCCAGGCUUUCUCUCUCAAGCAGAAGUACCGCUGGGGCUGAGCGGUAGUACCACUCCUGCGGUACUGCCUCCCUCCCCUGCCGACCUAUCUUCUCCUUACAAUUUCUCUCUAGCUUCAUCGUUGCGUUUUUCCACUUUGAGCGGAAGUACCGUUUGGGUGGAGCGAUAGUACCGCCCAGCGAUACUGCCGCCCUCCCCUUCCGUCCCUACUUUUGCUUGUUUUUCUCUCAAUCUUCUGAUGAGCCGUUGCCCUUUUUAAACGAAACUACCACUUGGAUUGGAGCGGUAGUACUUCUCUAGUGGUAGUACCGCUCAGCCCAACGGUAGUACUGCUUGUGCACGACCUGUGCACAUAACGGUUAGAUUUGGGGAGGCCCAGAAAAUGGGGUCUUCUUUCCCAAUGGUUUUCUAUCCGUUGAGCUCGUGUUCUUCCCCCAUUGUUGACCUUCUUAGAGCUUGCUAACUCUCAAUCCCUCCAAUGAUUCUUGCUAGUUCUUGAGGGAAAAGAGAGAGGAGAUCUAGAUCCACAUUUCCACCAAUCACUUUCUCCUCUAUGUGAGGGGAACCCCUUGGAUCUUGAUCUUGGAGUUCUUUGUGAGCUCCUUGUUCUUCCUCUCGUAUUCCUCCAUAGAUUUUGUUGUUCUGGAGGGAUUUAAGUGUCAGGGACUUGACCACUUCCUGUGUUCUUGCCAUCGCAUUAGUUGCAUCAGUUUGAGUUCUCCAUGAAAAUACGUGGAAGUGAAAAAGUUUGAUAAGCUUAUUACCCUUGGGUGCUUAGUACCCUAGAGAUUUUUCUUCGUGGAUUAUUUGGCGUCCUAGAAGAUUGGUUUUGCCUCGAAGCUAAAUCGUUGUGAUGUAAAGCUCCGGGCAAGUGACGAGUUCUCCAAUUAGGUUGUGGAGAUUGCCCCGAGCAUUUGAGGUCAUCUCGGAGCCACAGUCCAUUGUGGUGAAGCUUCGUGGUGUUGUUGGGAGCCUCUAAUUAAGUUAUGGAGAUUGCCCCAACCUUGUUUGUACGGGAUCGGUGACCGCCCUCAAGGGCCCCUUAGUGAAAUCAUGACAUCUUGUAUUGUCCAAAGGCAUGAGGAGAUUACGGUGGCCCUAGUGGCUUCUUGGGUAGCAUUGUGCCUCCACACUGCUUCAAAUGGAGAUUAGCAUCCGCAAGGGUGUGAACUUUGGGAUACAUCAUCGUCUCCACGUGCCUCGGUUAUCUCUUCCCCGAGCCAUUUACUUAUGCACUUUUACUUUGUGAUAGCCAUAUUGUUCCUUGUUAUAUAUCUUUUUAUCACUUAGUAAUUUAUCUUGCUAAGCAUAAGUUGUUGGUGCACAUACGUGAGCCUAGCUGUCGGGACCCCGAUCCUAAGCCACAGGAAUCCAGCCUAUAACACAUUGCAUCUCUUUGUGGUCUCACGCACGGUUAACUCCACGGCUGCAGCCUUACCUUAGCCGGGACCGUUUGCGUCUUUUAACUCACGUAUACGAUAGUGUCGCUAGCAUUCCAAUGUCAAAGAACCCGGAUCGACAUGUCUAGUCAUAAACCAAAGUGGCAGUUCCGCACAAGGACAAGCAUACAUGACCCAACAAAGCAGGUGUCGGUCAUCCACAAACGUAGACGAGUCGUAGCAAGCUACAAGGACUCCAUUACGUCGCAUGACAUUUCCCCAAAGGGGACAGACACAACAGCUAAGAAGGACACAUGCCGGUCAACCAAUGUGUCCGGAGCAGUAGCGAACUACCAAGGCUCGUUGGAUCACAAAGGGGCAUUUCCUUGUAAGGAGUGCUACUAAAGUUCACGACUAGGUAUUCGAACCCCAUACAUAUCAAGUAAGACACACGUACGCAUGGCAUACCAAUAUGUAUAGAUACAUCGAUGGCAUCACAACAUAACCAUAAACAUACAAGCUUUAUUUAAGAGGCUCGGAAGAGCCACACACAUAUUAUUACACAUUAAGGGUCUCACGACCCAUAAUAUCAGUCACACAAUACAAGCCAGCGGAAGAGUUAUAAACUGUCUGGGUACAGACAGAGCAACUAGAAGGCACAUGGCCUGACUAUACUACAGAGCCGACGUAGGGCUAGAUCGUAGCUGGGACACCAGCUACUCGUCGUCAUCGAUGUCUACGAAGAACCCUCCAUUAGGGUCAUUAGCAACCUCUGCAACAUUUAUUAAGCAAACAUGAGUACGAAGGUACUCAGCAAGACUUUAGGAUGGCUAACUACUCAUGCAAGGUAUCAAGAAGGUAUCGUGGGGUUUCAAGCGGAAAGCCAACAUUUGACUCGUGGCUAGACAACUUGCUUUUGAAAUUAGUUUUGACAACUUGAUUUCUCGCACACAAGUCCACUAACACCACAACAAUACACUAUCGUGGAAUCAUUCCGUCUCCAUACGGAAAUGCCGUCCACGACACUCACGCUUAUCUUGACAAUUUUAGGAGUAGCCAUUGAAAUUAUCUAUGAACAACAUAUGUCUCCAAGUAGUCCAUAUCCGCGGACACGGCUAUUCGAAUAGAUCAUAACCCUGCAGGGGUGUACUUCGUCACAGACGCUCCCGCCACUUAUCGCCAUGUGCACGUCAUGCACCUCGGCAACCUUCAAGCGGAAGCCCAGCGAGGGAGUCGGCCACGACCGUUAACCACACUAGUACCUAGUCCAGGUUUAUCGCCUAUCUCAGAGUAACCCGUACGGAAGUCCGGCCGAGGUUUCCGCCACGGCCUCAAACGAUGUGCGCAGGGUUGCCAAGCCCACCAUCCGGGUGCCACUUGGUACACCGUGCCACUGCCUACCGCAUCACGGUCCACCUCUCAGGUCAGCACCAUGCACGGCCUCCAGCAUUACUAUAAACACCAGAAACUACUUGCAACUCCUGGACCGAGUACUACGCGAUUAAUAGGCCGAGCGGGGUCAUAUUUCAGGGCCCAGCAUGUGGUAGUAUCUAGUCUUGGAUUACAUACACGGAACUCAGGUCCUAAGGACGGUUCCAAUGAAACAACCCGCCAUGUACUCCUACACAGCCUUUCACCGGCACCUUUACCAAAUCAAGUUUAACACACGACCUUUGCUUACCGAACACAUUCCACAUUUCUGUUCAUCUCCCAGAUGACAGACCAUACACAACUCUAAGCAUAGCAUGCAUAGCAGGAUAAGGCACAUCAUAGCUCAAGCAACUACCAGGUAUGCUAGGUUGCAAGGUUCGGCUAUUUACUGUGACAAGGUUAAGUCAUGCAAAGGAAGUGGGUCCAACUAUCGUGGCAAAAGCAGUUGAAGCAUUUGAUCCUAAUGCAUUAAAUAGGUGCAGGAGCAAGAACAUAGGUGUUAUCGGGAUGAUCAAAAGGGGUGCUUGCCUUGUUGCUCAGAGGAGGAACGAUAUCCGUCGGGCGGAUAUUCGGUGGAAUCCGGGGGUGCGGAGCCUACCGAAAUGAACGGCAACAUUCAGUAACAAUCGUGUGCAAUCAAAAUGAUGCAUGAGCAUGGCAUGAGAAUGCAAGUGAUAAGUUAUUAUAAUCAAGAUGUUUUAGGUUUAGAGUUGAUUUGAAUCACAUUCGAAUAGCAAUUCAAACGGGUAUUCCCGGAUACCGGUUUAAUUGAUUCGACCUGAUGCUCAGAUCAACCUAAUGUUAACAUGCAUGGAAUGUCAUGUUAUGGUAUUGAUUUACAUCUAGGGCAGUGUGUGAUCAUUGCAUUUAUAAUGAAAUUUGGAUAUUUUGCAAAUUCCAUUUAUAAAGUGAUUAAAAGAAUUGAAUUAAUCCUUAUUUCACAACUUAGGGUUCUGUAACUUUUUCAAACAUAGUUGAAAAUAGCAUAAUCAGAAUCCUUGAAUUUUUCUGAUACUUUUUCAUAUAUAAAUUAUUUUCAUUGGAGUUACAGAUUAAUUUCUAUGAUUUUUGCAAUUUUUAGCAAUUUCCUGAAUUAUUUUUAUACUGGAAAUUCCAUUUAUUGCAUCAGGUUGACGUCAGCAGGUCAGCCGACCUGUGCAGGUCAAACCUGACAGGGGGGCCCCACUGGUCAGCCUCUCUGGGACUAAUCCCGCGCUGACCAGCCCCUAAUUGGGGUUUGACCAGGCGUGGGGCCCUUUGUCAGCGACUGAGAGGAGGGCGAUUAGGCCCUAAUGGCCGGCCACGUCGACGGCCACCGGAGGGUGGUCGCCGGCGACCAAACCCGCGGCGGAGGGCUCGCCGGAGGCGACCUAGACGGCGCUGCACAGCACCAAAUCGCACGUGGAUGGCAGCUACAGCAAGCUCGCGAAGUGGCCGAUCUGGUAGGACCAACUGGGGAGGCUAGGGUCGCCGGAAGAGGCGUCGGCGACGAGCUGGAGCGGCGGCCGAAGCUCGGGCGUCGUCGGGGGCUUCGAAUCAGGGGGAUCCACGCUUAAUUCUUAGCUGCUACGGCAUCUACGCGUCGUCCUGGAGCUUCUGGUGCUCACGGGAGGACGAGCUGGACAUCGGAGGGCUACCGGCAACGAGCGGCAGCGGCGGUGCUCGUCGGGCUCCGGCGAAACUAGGGCUAGAGAAGGGGAUCGACGGGGAAAGCUUAGGGGAAACCACCGCAUGCUCACAGGGAGUGCAGAGAAGAGCUCAGACGGCUCGGGGAAGGCCUGGGGACGACGAAUCGACGGGAGAUGUCCGGCGGCCGGAGGAAGAAGACGACGGCGUUGCGGGCGUUGCAGGGCUCGAGGGGACUUCGGCUUCUGCAGAGAAGACCAGGGCGACGAGGCGGAUCUAAUGGCGUGCUCGGGGAGGGGUUCCUAUGGCCAGGGCAACGGCCAGCUCGAGCUCGAGCUCGGCUCUAAUGGCGGCAGCAGGGAGAAGGAGGGGAUCCGGGCGGAGGAGGAGAACCGAGGCAGGGAAUGGAUAGGGAAGGCUCUGGGGAGCUUAUCCCCGCCGUCGCCAGCACGAACCGGCGGCCAGGCAGGCACGCAGGUGCGUGGCCGCGCCGGAGGAGGCGGCGGCCACCUCCUGCUGCCUACUGGCGCGGGGAAGGGGACGAGCGGCGAGAUGGGCUGGGCCUGGCGUGGGCGUCAGGUAAGUCUUUUCCUUUUUCUUCUGCUUUUGUUUUUCUGUUUUGCUAUUUAUUGCUUUGCUAAUUAUUUCAGCUCCAAAACAAAAAGUAAAAACUAUUUUAAACCUCCUGAAAUAUUUGUUAUAAUGUCCCCACUCAUUUCCAAGACUUUCAACAAUUUUGGAAAAUUAUAGCUUCUGUUUUCAAAUUUUUAAAUUUGAAACCAGUGGCUUUUGCAUUUAUUUAAAAUGCUUGAAGUGCCAAGGAAAUAGUUUUCUCCAAUGCUCAUUUACUUUCAUGAAUUAUCAGAAAGUUUGAACAUUUCUUGAGGCCAUUUUGGGUUCAUUGAUUUUGAACUAGUUUGAAAUUUCCUUUAAUUGAAAUGGUGGCUAGGGUUUUGAGUUUUUCCUUUGCCACUUUGUUGUUUUUGUUGAAACUUCUUAGAUGCAAAUGCAAAGAAGACAUGAGCACAAUGCUAUCUAGCUUAAGGUUUAGGGAUGUGACACUAGCUGUUAUAGGUUUUGUGCUUGACAAAUUAAAUGUUAGUUUUAUUCCUCAUUUGUUAAAGCCUAAACCGUAAUUACUUUAAAGCGCCUAUUCAACCGCCCUCUAGGCGACAUCCACGUCCUUUCACCAUGGAUUUCGAUCUCUUUGCUCGAAACUCCGUUUCUGAAACUGUUUUGGGGGAUAGCUCCUUGGUAUGUAACUCCACCACUCCUCCAAUUAGUUUUUGCCUUAGUGGUUUAUCUUAGAAGUAAUUAUCUACUCUAGGUGUUGUUGUAGUUGAGCCUGCAUGUUGAAUUCUUGAAGUUCCAAGUAGUUUGAAUUCUUGUUUUAUGCUUUAGGCAUCCUUACAAGUAGUUGCUAUCAUUCUUGUGAAUAUUUGUUAACUUUAUGUUGUGACACAAAUUUUUCAGAAAUUUGUACAUAGGAAUAAUUAGCUAGUUCAGGAGGAGUUCUUCGAAGAAUAAGUCCUUAGAGGCAUCAUCGAGUGAGGCUCGCAUACGACGGUCUUAUGCUUAGCCAAGUCAAAGCUCGAAGCGAGAAUCCCACACCAAAUCAUGCCUUUGGCCAAGUGAUGACUUCAUGUUGGGUGCAAAUAUUAAGGAAGUGUUUGAGCAAUACAUUCAAAAUACUGAGCUUGCACCCUUCACCGUAGAUAAGUGCACACAACAUUAUCAUCUUACUGAAACUUUCACUAAGAGGUUUAAAUUUUAUUCUCGAGAAUUCAGAGUCCCGUGUAACCUCUAUGAAAAUGCCUUCACCAUGUAUCUAGAUAAUUUCUCUAAUGCAUGGAAAAUUCCAUGUUUGGUUUUGCUAGACGAACCACCAAAAUCUUAACACGAGGCAUUUUUAACAAGUAUUUGCUUUGGUGAAGAUAGGGGAGCGACUCAUGGUAGAAUAAAUAGCACACACUUUCCUUCAAUUCGUUACCUAGCACUCCUUAAUGGAAAAUUCAUAGUGGGCAAGCAGGAUUGUAGUACCUUAUUUGCCCAGACUUGUGUCUCCUGCAUACUGCAUUAAUUGGAAUUAACUGUUAUAAUCUUGGAGCAAUAGUAGCACGCAGGUUGCAAUGUAAUUCUGAAAAAGGCCAUUUUUACGCCGCAAUUUACGCCUCUUGUUUAGCUAAGAAGCAUAGUGUGUCACCGCGGUCUAGUGACCCUAUUCUUCCUACUCAAUACUUAGAUUUUGAGGCCAUGAAGUGCCACAAGUUCAUAAAGGCCAGAGCUACUGAUUGUAAUUACAACCUUAUGUUUAAUAAUAAAUCUAUUGACCCUGUUAUGUUGCUUGCACCUUCCCUCUUUGAUUAUUGGGGAAAAGGAAGAUAUUACGUCUAUGGGAGGGAGGUGCAUGAGUAUAAUGCGACAGUGGAGGCUGUCCGUCAGGCCACGGAAUUGCACCAAGGGCUUCCAUGAUCUAUCAUAUGGAGUAUUAUCCAGGUCACUACGGGUGGUGAUUAUCAAGCUAGGCCAAAAGCCCAAGCUUUGGGGAGUACGUGUUUCCACCGACUUUACAUUCAUGCUCACAUAUUCUAGUUGUCGGUGUUCACACUCUUGCAUUGCAUUUUCCAUGUUAGAGUUAUUUUCUUGCUUUCUUCUUGUGUGUUUGAGAAACUUGCACAAAACCCAAAUAGAUUUCUCUUUUCUUCUUUUACUUGUUGGGAGCUUUCCCGUGUAAAUAUUUUUUCUUGUUUUAGUUUUUCCCUUCUUUAAUUUCCCUUCUUCUAGAGAAACUAAAAAACACAAAAAUAUUUUAGUGUGUUUCUAUGAAUUUCUUUUCCUUUUAUUGAGUUGUUCUCAAGGUGAAGACCACGAGGAAAAUAUUGAGUGGCUCUCAUAUGCAUUGUUAUUGAUCUAAUAAAGAGUCGAUAUUACUUUGUCUUCUCCUCUUGAAUAAAAUGUUGUAGAUUCUAGCUUAAUCAUCGGACCCUUUUCACUACUAUUAUUUUCGUAUCAUUUGGUCAUGCAAGUGAAAUGCAAUAAUGACGAUAUUUGAUGAACUGACUGUGGCAGAGAGAAGCGAGUAUGAACUCAACUUGUUUUUGUAUUUGUAAAUAUGUUUAGACAUGUCGGGGAUAUGAACCCGCGGUAUAACCCGCCAUUUGGGCCAGGUUAGACCAUGGGCGGCUUAAGAAGCGUAUAUUCAACGGGCUGUAGAGAUGACAGAGGUAAACGAGAAGACUUACCAAGUGAACCGCCUGGCGGGCCAGUACCUGAAGUUGGUGACUCAAGGCCCAUGAGGUGGAAGACGUGAGAAGCUUUCCUAACUUGGGAAGCAAGAGAACGUAGAAUUGUAAUAGGUCACGGGCGAUUAUUAACCCGGACUCUAUUGUAAACUCGAUGCCUCCACCUUUAUAUAAAGGGGAUCCCUUGAGCCGAAAGGAUCCAGCAAGAAACUCUCGAAAGCUAGGUCAGCUAUUCCGCAUCCUUAUAGUCGAGAUCACCAUCAAUAUAGACACAAAGGAAGGACAUAGAAUUUUACCUCCAUUGGAGGUGCCGAAACUGGGUAAAUCUAUCUUUCGUUCCCAAUCAACUCCUUCGAGUCACCACACAAGAACGAUGGCCUCACACCUAAGUCCUUCCAUGAGGACAUUUGUCGUGACAAAACCAUGAUAGUUGGUGCCCACCGUGGGGCUAUCGCAAGGUGGAGUUGAGUUCUUGAAGGGAGCUCUUCUAGUGUUUGGGAGCUACAUGGCGGGUCGUAUGACCAAGAGUCGCCAUGGCAAGAUCUACAUUGACGAUUCAGGUUGGGGUGUCGACGCCGACUCAAUCAAGUACGGGCACCGGGUCCCCUUUGGCAAGAUCCACAUCUUCAUCGGCAUGAUCAAUGAAACAACGCCCGAGUCAGACCUCUGCAACAACAUCGUCGAGCCGGCUCACCAUGUUUGACCCGAUCAGUGGAGGGCCGGAUGUAGACGUGCCUUUAUGGAUAAUACAGAUUAGUCUGUCCUCUCAAAGGUGGGAACAGUGAAGGCCAUGGCAACAACAAGUGGAAGCGGCCCGAAGGCGGGACAAAAUCUACGGUCAGUACCGCGAGUUUCAAAAACCAGCGUUGGAGUGAUCAUACUGGAAGGAUUUGUCUGGCUAAGAGGACACACAACUAUGAGGAUGCGCUCAGAGCACCUUGUCCCAAGGAUAGUACUCAGGGGAAGCCGGCCAAUCAUUCAUGGGAAAACUGCUAUAUCAUGCAGGAUUUCCAGAACCAGGUUCUCAGGAAAUACCAAGGGGACAUCCGGGUCAGUAUGCCCCUGGCGGGUCAUCUAGGGAUCUCAAGCAGCCAAGUAGUGGUCAGUACCAUGUAUUCAGCACCAAUCUGACAAACCAAAGAGUAAAGUCAGAAAUAGAGCUAUUAGCAUGGCCUAACCCGUGUUUCCACAGUAUAUCCGUUGGUGUGAGCAGCAGAUCACCUCAAGCCGGGAGGAUCACCCCUUGGGUUGACAACCUUGGAGAUCAUUCUUUGGUGGUAGCACCCCAGGUGGGUGUGUAUACCCUCACAAAGUUCCUCAUGGAUGUGGGAAGUAGCAUCAACAUACUCUAUUAUGACACCUUUCGACAGAUGAACCUCCCCGACGGUAGCUUGGAAACUUCAACCACUGUUUUUCAUGACAUCGUCCCUAGAAAGUCAGCAUGCUCAGUUGGGAAGAUUAGGCUUGAUGUGGCCUUUAGUGAUGAGCACAAAUACAGGGUCGAGCCUUUAAUCUUUGGAGUGUUGAAGAUGCAGAGCCCUUACCACGCUCUCUUCGGAAGGCUAGUUUAUGCGCACUUCAUGGCUCGCCAUUGUUAUGUCUACCUCAAGCUCAAGAUGCCGGGUACCAAUGGCACUAUAACGAUGAGAGGUGGCAGGAAGACGACUGAGGAGUGUGAGGAAGGGGACGCGGCCUACGCUGACUCGGCCUACACCGCCGAGAAACUAAAGUUCUUCACGGCUAAUGUUGACCCAACUAACAUGAGUCCCCUCAAUCAGCUAAGUACUGAGUCCGAAGAACCUCUCAAGUUCUACUCGGCCGAAGAUACCAAGCAGGUUGACUUCGCUCCAGGCGACUCACGCAAGCAAUUCACCAUGGUGAUCGGUCUAGACGCCAAAUAAGAAAGCAUGCUCAUCGAGUUCAUCCAUGAGAAUCGAGACAUCUUUACAUGGAAGCCUUCUGACAUGCUUGGAGUAUCAAGGGAACUCGCUGAGAACCAUCUUAACGUGGAUCCAAAGAUGAAGCCAAUACAACAGUACCUCUGUUGUUUUAGCGAGGAGAGAUGCAAUGCUAUUGGAGAAGAGGAAGCCCUGCUCCUAGCUGCCGGGUUUAUCGUUGAAGUUUUUCACCCUAAAUGUAUGGGUAACCUAGUGCUUGUCUUGAAUAAGAAUGGCACCUGGCGCAUGUGUGUUGAUUACACAGAUCUCAACAAAGCUUGUCCCAAAGAUCCUUUUGUUCUCUCGCAUAUCGACCAGAUCGAUCUUUGAUUCUACGAUGGUUUGGGAGCGUUUAUGCUUCCUAGACGCAUACUCAGGCUAUCACCAAAUCAAAAUGGCUAAGGAGGAUUAGGAGAAGACGACUUUCAUAACCCCUUUUGGUGCCUUCUACUAUGUAUCUAUGCCUUUCAGGCUUAAGAACGCAGGGGCGACCUAUCAGCGAUCUGUGCAAAAUUGCCUUCACCAACAAAUCGGGCGCAAUGCUCACCCUUAUGUUGAUGACACCGUGGUGAAAUCUCGAAAGAAGGAGACACUCUUAGACGAUCUCAGGCAGACAUUCGGUAACCUCCGAGUGUACGAGAUGAAACUUAACCUGGUGAAGCGUGUUUUGGGGGUCCCCGUGGGUAAAUUGCUGGGCCUCCUAGUCUCUGAAGGAGGCAUUGAAGCCAACCCUAACAAGAUCAAGGCGGUAAAUUCACUAGGUAAGCCGGCUAAUAUAAACCAGGUUCAACGCCUGGCGGGUCGUAUUGUAGCAUUGAGGGGUUAAGAAUCCAGUGAAAAAGAUGGAUAAUUUUGUUUGGACUAAUGCAGCCAACGAAGCUUUUGAAGCUGUGAAGAAGCAGCUGGCUGAGCCACCCAUUUUAGUCACGCAGACCGACAAAGAGCCCAUGCUCAUAUACAUCACUGCCAAUUCAAAGGCGCUAAGUGUUGUAAUUGUUGUUGACCGGAAGGAGGCAGGAACGAAAUAUCGGGCUGACUGGCGAGUCUAUUUUGUCAGCAAAGUCUUGACCUUAUCCAAGCAAUGAUAUCCACAUUGGCAGACACUGGUCUUUAUAGACGUUAUGGCAUGCUGGUAGUUAAAACACUACUUUCAAGAACAUCCAAUCACCAUGGUCUUCUCAGCACCCGUUGGCGAUAUCAUACAAAAUCGAGAGGCUAUUGGUAGAAUCCCUAAGAGGGCAAUCAAGCUCGGCCAGAUCAGGUGAAAUUGAUUCCCCAAACAACCAUUGAGUCCCAAGAGUCGGUAGAUUUCAUUAAUGACUGGAUAGAGCUACAAAUUCCAGAAGACAGGCCAUAUAACACGUACUGGACCUUACACUUUGAUGGGACCAGGCAAUUAGAAGGAUCCAGGGCCGGGGUCGUGUUAACUUCUCCAUGAGAUGACAAGUUCUUGUAUGUUCUAUGACUCAUGUUACCCUGUAAUAAGAAUGAAGCUGAGUAUGUGGCCCUUCUACACGGGCUAAGGAUGGGUAAGGAAAUGAACGUCAGCCGUGUCAGGUGUUUGGGUGACUUAGAUUCCGUGGCACAACAAGUUUCAGGGACCUGUGAUUCUAAAGAUCCCUUGAUGGCAACUUACUAACGAGGAGUUACUAACGUGGUGAGUUACUUUCAUCGCUAUCAAGUCGAUCACAUAGAUCGUCGGCUCAAUGAGGCAGCAAAUGCUUUAUCACAACUUGGUUCUAACCGGAAGCCGGUCCCUCUCAAUGUCUUUUUGAAUGUCCUUCACAAUCCCUUGGUGAAAUUAUUGUCUGAAGAGGAUAUAACUAUUCCUGACCCAGCAUGACAGCUGGUGGUUUCUCUUCAUGCUACCCCUGACUAGACGGUACCAUAUUUAUCUUAUCUCGCUCAAGGAGAGCUCCCGUCUGAAGAAGUCGAGGCCCGCCAAAUAGUUCGGCGAUCGAAAUCUAUGACUAUUAUCAAGGGCGAGUUACAUCGGCGGAGAAGCACUCAUGUGUUUCAACAUUGUGUAUCCCCUGAGGAAGGGCAAGAAAUUCUCAAUGAAAUCCCCGCCCGUGAUUGUGGACAUCAUGUCGGCUCAAGAUCUUUUGUGGAAAAGGCGUUUCAACAUGGGUUUUAUUGGCUAACGGCUCAUACAGAUGGAGAAUACCUCAUACGCAAGUGCGGUGGAUGCCAACAGUUUGCUCGACAUGUCCAUGUGUCGGCUAAAGAGUUGCGCAUGAUCCGAAUUACGUGGUCGUUUGCAGUUUGGGGGCUUGAUAUGGUUGUUCCAUUCAAAAUGCCUCCAGAUAAAAAUACCUACUUAUUGGUGGUGGUUGAUAAGUUCACCAAAUGGGUUGAGGCAGAACCUGUCAGCAACUAUGAUCCGGAAAUAACGGUCAAAUUCUUGAACAAGUUAAUCUACCAUUUUGGCUAUCCUCAUAGAUUUAUCACGGACGAUGGCACCAACUUUUCCAAAGGAGCUAUGAAACAAUUUUGUCAGAAAGAGCAUACCCGACUUGACCUAGCAGGAGUAGCGCAUCCGCAAUCUAACGGGUAGGCUGAAAGAGCAAAUCAGGAGAUUCUGAGAGGGAUCAAACCCCGACUCAUGGUUUCGUUAAAACGUACCCCGGGUUGUUGGGUUGAGGAACUCCCCUCAGUACGGUGGAGUAUCAAUACAACGCCAAACAGGUCCAUUCGAUACACGCCUCUCUUUCUAGUUUAUGGUGGUGAGGCUGUAUUACCGAGAGAUAUUCGUCAUGACUCUCCUCGAGUCGCUGCUUAUGUUGAGGACGACAAUGAACAAGAACAACAAGAUUCUUUGGAUGCUUUGGAGGAAGAUCGAGACUUAGCAGCAGCUAGGUCAGCCAUAUAUCAACAAGACCUACGUCACUCUCAUAGCCGUAGGGAUAAAAGCCGCACCUUCCAAGAAGGCGACUUAGUGCUCCGCGUGAUUCAAGAUCAAAAAGUGAUGCACAAACUUUCACUUCCCUAGGAAGGCCCGUUUAUCAUCAGCAAAACCUCAACAAUGGUUCAUAUUAGCAAAUCAAUCUUUGACCCGGUAAAACCACCAGCCAAGCAGAGACAACCUUGCCAUGGAACAUUACUCACCUGCAGCCUUAUCAUACUUAGAGCCACCAUGUGGGGACCCCGACUUACGAGUCGAGAUCGCCGAAUGAACGUGCUCAGUGAUCCCAGAGAUCAAGGCUCACCGAACACACAUAUACUGAAUAUUAAGAGUCUUACAUCCAAAUACCGAAUUAGUACGUCAUGUGACCGAAUGGUCAAGUUCACAAGGUAGGGCCUAUAAGGCCAAAUCACACGGAUACAACAAGCAGCGGAAAUCUAAGGGCUAAACAGGUGCCCAUGCCAUCAGCGUACACCAAUAGGCAUUCUUACUAGGAAGCGUCCUAGUUCGUAGGGGCGUCUCCGAAGACGUACUCAUAUUCAAACUCCGGUCCUUCCAUGUCUGGUCAAUAAUAUAACUACUGGCAAGAAAAUGAGUACUAUUGAAUGUACUCGCAAACAGCCCAUGAUAUGAACAAUGCAAGUGAAGAUAACAAUAAUAUGCAUCUUUGGUGGACAACGACUUGUUGUAAUAAACAUGAUCAUGAGUAUGCAACAUAAGCUAAUGUUGAUUUGAGGAACAGGUUACAGAUAUCAAUAUAUCUGUCGAGGGUUGAACACUCCGUUUCACCCUAUAUGUCCAGUCACCAAAUUUGGUCAUAUCAACUCUUUCAUAUUAACACCAUUUACCACAACUCACAAACACUUCGUUUAUGCGGAAACGACUGGACGUAGUUUAAGCAGCACCACCCAACUGUCCUUGACCGUGGACACGGCUAUUCGAAUAGUUUUACACUCUACAGAGGUAGUACGCUGGACCCACGAGAUCCGGGAAACUUCCGUGUGAUCCACGACUCAUGUUAUAUAACAUACCCGAGGUAAGUACCCGAUCAAUGCCUUUCCCCUGACGAUACUAGACAAAGAGGUCCACUCGAUUGGUACCCAUCCCACAUGUUGUACGUCUUACGAGCCCCAACUCUAGACAGUAUCAAACAUGGGGGGACCAACGGUGUGCCUGGAACACGUAAAAACGGCGUAGUCGCCCUACCUGGCACGACCCCAUCACGAGAGUGACCACACAUCACUCCCGCCACUAGUAAUGUGGCUCUUUGCUAGCACCGACCAGAGUAAUGAACAUAUUCCCGUCCCAUAAAGGGGUAACAUGGUCGUACAUGUAUGGUUGGGACGGUCGACACAUCAUAAAUAUAUUCCCAUUUCCAAAACCAUACUCACUCAAAAUACCCGGUGCACCACUUCACCAAAAGUGGCCACCGAACUCAUCAUCACCCUCGGGCAUUAGUGGCACCCGACGGGGUUUUCGUAAACCUUUGAUUUACGUCAUCGCCAUGCUCAUGCUAAAUACUAUUCUAACUUUACUUGUCAACAUGAUAUUAGCAUGACCCUCAUAGGCGGUAGGAUCAAGCUCAAUGCAUGUGCUCCAGAGGAGCCAUCGGUAACAUCACUUCAAUAAUUUACCGGUACUUAUGAUCAUAUGCAACGGAAAUAUUUGCUACACUAGCAUGCAUCAUAACAUAUGCUCAGACAUGGUCAAAGGGCUUCUUGCCUUGGUCAGCUAGGUAUCCGGGGUCUUCGAGGUCUUCCGCUGCAACUCCUUCGUCACACGGGUUCUCUAUCGUCGUAUAAAGGUAAAAAUAAUAAGUAGCUCACUCCAGAACAAAUCACAAAGUUAUCUUAAAAAUGUUGGUUAUUUAUGAUAAAUCCAGGUUUUUCUUUUAGAAAUAUUUGCUUAUAUUUUUAGUGAAGGAAUAUUUUUAAAAUCAACUUAACAGAAGCACAACUAUUCCAAAUUAAUCAUUUUUAUUAUUAUAAAACAGAAUAGUUGCUGAAAAAUUCAACCAAUGGUUCUGUUAAAUACGACACAUUUUUAGAAGAAUAACAGUGUACAAUAUAUAUAUUUACACUGGUUAAAUCUUUUUAUAGAAAUCAUUUAAACUUAGGUUUUAAAUAAAAAUAAAAGGGGGCAACAGACCCUGGCCUGGCUUGGCCUCAGACUUGGCCGGCCCAAAGUCCAGCCAACUAGCCUGCCCAGGCGCGUGCGCCGUCAGGUUUGAACCUGACGCGCAGGCCCCUGCGAUCAGUGGCUGCAUGCAGCGAGGGAGAGGGAGAUGGGCCACCGAUGGGUGGGGCACACCAGUCGGGGUCGUCUCCUACCUCUAGCCAGAGAGGAGGAGGAGCACCUGGCGUGGCUACCGACGUCCUCGGGCCCUAACGAGGACGGUAAUGGGUCCGGCUCGUCGUCGCCUACCUGAUGGUGGUUGAGACAACGUCGGAGGGGCUCAGGUUCACCAGCGACGAGGUAGCCGCGGCGGAGGGGUUUCGAGCGAGGGUGGAGGUGGUAGCUAGGGGCACGGAUUUGCUCGGGGAAGAGAGGGGAAAUAUUCCUGGUGUCAAGGGGAGUUGUUUGGUGGGCAGAGGGACGCGGGAGCCAACGUGUAGCCGAGAUCGACCGGAGCUCCGAGGCGGAGGUGCCUUGGUCGAUCUCGAGCAUCGAGGCUCUGCUGGCUUACUGGGGUGGCUAGGGAGGUGAUUGAGGUUGCUGCGAUGAGGUCUGAGGGAUGUUGGAGCGAGGGGAGAGGCUAUAUAUAGGCCCGCGACGGUGAGCCGACUCGGGGAUGCCGGUGAUUCACCCUGGCACGCAUGGGGGUGCAAAGAGGAGCUCGGGUCGAAACCACGGUCUCAGGACAUGGUUUUGGACUGCCAGGGCUCAUUGCGAGGAAGGGAGAGAGAGAGGAGAGGCGAGCACCCGUGGCUGCGCAUCUCUGGCCGGUUCUGGUGUGCGCGGGCAUGCGUCACACCAGCUCUUAGCGCGGGAGAGGAGGGACCAUGAUGGUCGCCUCAUGCAAAGGGGUUUUCGCGGAAGAGGUUAGACACAUCGGGGGAGGCUGGAACUGGACAAGAGCGUCGCCCCCACCUCGGUGGUUCUCUGUAGCGCGCCAGAGCGCAGCUUUGGCAUGCCACGGCAUGCUGGCACGCUCUGGGGUGCCUUGGACAUGUCUAGCAUGUCCUGGGCACUGGCUGAGAGAUGCCUAGCCGUUGGAGACCCGUGAGAGCUUCGGCUGGUCAAUGGGGACAAGGAAAACAGGUGGUGUCAGCCUUGAGCUGAAGCUUAGAUUUGUCUUUUUUGGCAUUUAUACUUUGAGCUAGAGUGGGGCGAAUUGUCUGGGGCUUGGCAUUGAUUCUGGCCACCUAAUCUGAGAGUUUGAGAGAAAGGGUUGGGGUUUAGCUAAGGUUAGGUGGGGUUUUACCCAUCUGUCAGAAGGUGCUCGACAGUGGUUUGGGGUGCUUGCACCCCACCAUUGGCUCUGCAACUUAACAUGAUUGGGUUUGGUGCUAAAACAAGGGGUUUCACCAAGUUUGAGCUCCAUUGGACAAGUUUAGAUUUGGAAACUUGCAAACAUCACCAAAUGACCAGAUCUGUUCCUUCCAAAGAGAGUGUGGGCAAAUCAAGUCCCACAAAUCUCAUUUCUGGUAUGGAGUCCUCAUUUGAGGUAUAAGGCACUCCUGCAAAGUUUCAACUCCAUUGGACAAACUUCGCUAUGUAGAGUUGCUCUAAAUUCAAUCUGGACAGAAGGGGUUUUGCAACUAUUUGGUGCCCUUAAUCAUCUUGGAUCAAGGUGAAAUUAUAUAUGGGCACCAAAUAUGGCUUAGGGAUACCACUCGAAUUUUCUAGUAAUAUUUUGAGAAUAUUUCCUUUGGAAAUAUUUCAAAAGGUCAAAACAGACACAAAGUGUUUUCACGGUUUUACUCAAAUAAUAAUAAUAUAAAUAGGGGUUGAGAAUAUUAUGUAUGCAAAAUAUAUGUCCUUCUGAUCAUCUCCAAAUUUUCUCAUAUGUUUCUAAGGAAGAAAAGUAUUUUUCCAUAUAGGAAUGCCAUUUCUGGCGUUAGAAAUGUACAUGCAAUUAAAUUCGAAAAAUAAUUUAUUAAAUAAUUAUUUUGUUGUUUUGAUGCACUAAAAUGGUGCUAGAACCAUAUCACCAACUUUGGGUAAGAACACGUCUUGCCAUCAAGGACUUGUAGUGCAAUCCCAAAGCAGGGUUUUACUUUAACGAGAAAUAAUAAAAAGGUUUUGAAAAUAAUUAAGUCAUGAGAAAUGUGGUUUGUGAUAUCACAUGAUCAAACAUACAAGCACACAUUGACAAUCAUGGCACUCACAACAAUAGUUUUGAACAAGUUUUAGUAAACUCGGAUUUUUGAAUUACACGAAAAAGUGGUAGUGAAAACAGGGUGUGACACACCACUUCAUUAUUUUUGGUACCUCUCCAAAUUUGUGUACAUACUUCCGUAGUUUCGAACAUAAUAAAGCCGACAUCCCCGAAUCUCGUGGCCUCUGUCAUUUUCAGCCUACAGGUUAAGCAUGAGUCUUUAUUAUUUCAAAACAUGUUACUUGGGGGCUACUGGUCCAAACAAAUCAUCAUGAUCAAUGGAAUAAAGUCGGCUUAUCUGAACUUCAAAUGUUUUGCAGUAGAAGCAUUAUCUCUUGUAUAUCCUAUGUUGGGCUUUUCUAUUGAUCAUAGGUCACUUGUGGGAUUCCACCUGAUUGAGUUUAGCUUUCUCACCCUCUUGGUCUGGCAAAGACGCCACAAAAUGGUUAACCCUCCCUGUAUGUCUGAUGCAACUCCGAUCAGGUGACUCCAUGUACUCUGGACUAGUCAAUCCAUAGUGGACCAUGAACUAGCAAGGUUAAAACAUUGGCUUGUCACGUGAGAGCCCACAUACACAAAGCUAAGAUAAACCAUGGGUUAUUAUACCCGUUUCACUCAAGAAAGACUUGAGCCUUGAAAGCCAGUCUCUUUUUACCGUGUCUCACUAAUCCGGAUUAUUAUCACUUUAUAUUGUCAUCAUAUGAGUUUUUCAGGUAUAACACUAUUUUUCGGCUCAUAAACGAGUGCCUUGGUUAUAAAUACAUAAUACUGUCAUGGAUAGUCUGAAGUUAUAUGGCUCAACACGCAAAUAUCAUGAAGAAAUCUCAGGGAUUGAGUUACAAUAAUCCGUCCCGUGUUGAUUCAAGAAACCAUCUAUUAAGCAAAUAUGAGCUAAAUCAGAAAAUAUUAAAAGGACUAAAAGCUAUCUGACUCAUAUACAUAGGGAUUAAAGGCGAGUUAAUAAAUACUUAUUCAGACAUAAAUCCCUUGCUAUCAUAACAAGAUAAAGAGUUUGAUAAAGUACACAAAGGCAUGGCACACGCAAAAUAGCUAUUGGCUUAGAAGAUAUAACAAGGCACUUGGCGCCAAAAUGAUGGAAUCAAAUUUUGACAUUCAUGUUUUCCUGGUUAAGCUUUGUUUGGGUUUUGUGCAUGAGAUGUCUCCGGCUUGUGCUGUGCUCGAGUUCCUGGGUCUACAAUAUGAAGGUCGUCCAAGUUCCAGUUGCACUGUGUCAAGGCUUCAAAUAUGGCUUUUUCAUUAAAAUUGGAGACGAUCAACAUCAGGGGCGAAGUAUUGCUUACGACGCUGUAGAAUCAGACUAACCGAUUUAAACAAGGGCGGCUGAACACAUGCAUUUUUUGAGUCAUAGGCUGGAUGAUAGCUUUUGAAUGACAUGUCAUUCACAAGCUGACUGGCAAACACCUGAGCCACUUUGAGACACUAAAGAUAGUCAUCCUCUUUAAAUACUGACCCGUCCAUCGUUUGCGCUGGCAACCCACCAGCCCUCUCCGUCAGGUCAAGCUUCAUUGAGUAAGCUAAAGAUCGACUCAAGGAAUAUGUGUCUCUAGCUCGGGCGACUGAUAUCUUGAGUUCUCCAAUAUUCUUCGGAAUCGUAGAGAGGAAGGUCAGCACAUAUUUUACGAGCUUAACUGGCUCCUUGUUCCCCAUGAUAGCUUUGAUUGUUGGGUUAUUUACUUCUGUGCCCCACUUCACUUAGUUUUGCUUGUUUUUGUACCACUGGCUUAGCUUUUCUCGUUUUUGUCGUACUUCUCUCUAUGAACUCCCGCAGGCGUCCAAGCGGGGCGUUUUCGUCUAUUCAACCUCCUUUGACCGUUACGUCGCCUCACUAGUGGUGUCGGCCUGGGGCACCUCAUCGCGCUUACGAAUGGGGCUCAAUCAGGCAAGUGGGCCCAUGCACGGACGACUCAUCUCCCGCUGGCCCGUCAGGCAGCGACAGCGGCAAUGCCGAGGCUACUUUGACCUGUCCACAUGGGAACGACUCGUCUUCCACUGGCCCACUGGGCAGCGACGGAGAUGACGCUUCUACUUUGACCGGUCCCAACACGGGAACGACUCGUCUCCCAUUGGCGGUAGCGACAGCGGGGACGCUUCGGCUGUUUUGACGGGUCCCAUCAAAUAUGAACCACCGCCACCUUCUUCCCCACUCAUCUACCCCACUUGUACACCCCACUCCCCGAGCUGAAAACCCCUGGAAAAAAGCAAAGCACAACCUCGUCGCCCGCGACAGCGAUGGAGGUCCGUCGAGCCCUAACCGGCGGCAGACGAUGAACGAUGACUUCGCGCAGUACCUCAUGGAGAGAAACGAGCCGGUGCCAUAGCCAAGCGCCGUGCUCCCGGAGCCGUGGAACCUCAGCGAGAGCCGGGUGCAUGUGCCGCAGGUUCUCGCAGAUGGCAUCGAGUGUUGGGUAACGUAGUAUUUUCAAAAUUUUCCUACGCCAAACAAGGAUCUAUCUAUGGAGAAAUCAACAACGAGGGAUGGGGUAGAGCAUGUUCAUACCUUUGAAGAACACUAAGAGGAAGCGUUACUAGAACACGGUCGAUGGAGUCGUACUCGUAGCGAUUCAGAUCACUGUCGGUUCUGAUCUAUGUGCCGAAUCACAGCACCUCCGCGUUCAACACACGUACAGCCCGGUGACGUCUCCCACGCCUUGAUCUAGCAAGGAGGAGGGAGAGGUUGAGGGAGAGCUCCGGCAGCACGACGAAGUGGUGGCGGUGGAGCUACGUGGUAUUCCGACAGGGAUUUGCCAAGCACCGCGGAAGAGGAGGAAGAGGAGGAGUAGGGCUGCGCCGAGAGAGAGAGAGAUUUGUGUGUCUCAAACAGCCCCAAAACCACCGAUAUAUAUAGGAGGAGAGGGAGGGGUUGCCCACCCUUAGGGUUCCCACCCCAAGGGUGCGGCAGCCCUGGAUGGGGCAGGGAGCGCGGCGGCCAAAGGGUGGAGAGGAGGGGCGCGCCCUAGGUGGGCCUUGGGCCUCCUCUGCGCCUAGGGUGUGCCCCCUCCCACUCUCCUUGCGCCUUGGUCUGAGAGGGGAGGGUGCACCAGACCACUCUGGGCUGGUUCCCUUUCUCCUUUUGGCCCAUGUUAACCUUUGGGGCUGGUGGCCCCUCCCGGUGGACCCAGUACGUUACCAGUGACGCCCGAAACAUUUCCGGUGUCCAAAACCCCUCAUCCUAUAUAUUAAUCUUCACCUCCAGACUAUUCCGGAGCUCUUUGUGACGUUCGGGAUCUCAUCCGGGACUCCGAACAACCUUCGGUAACCACGUACACUAUUUCCCUAUAACCCUAGCGUCAUCGAACCUUAAGUGAGUUGACCCUACGGGUUCGGGAAGCAUGCAGACAUGACCGAGACACUCUCCAGCCAAUAACCAACAGCGGGGUAUGGAUAUCCAUGUUUGUUCCCACAUGUUCCCUGAUGAUCUUAUCGGAUGAACCACGAUGUCAAGGAUUCACUUAAUCCCGUAUGCAAUUCCCUUUGUCUACCCGUAUGAUACUUGCCCGAGAUUCGAUCGUUGGUAUCCCCAUACCUUGUUCAAUCUCGUUACUCGCAAGUCUCUUUACUCAUUCCAUAGCACAUUAUCCCGUGGCUAACUCCUUAGUCACACUGAGCUCAUUAUGAUGAUGUUCUACCGAGUGGGCCCAGAGAUACCUCUCCGUUUAGACGGCGUGACAAAUCCCGGUCUCGAUUCCUGCCAACCCAACAGACACUUGCGGAGAUACCCGUGGUGCACCUUUAUGGUGACCUAGUUAGGUUGUGACGUUUGAUACACGCAAACCACUCCUACGGUAUCCAGGAGUUGCACAAUCUCACUGUCUAAGGAAAAGACACUUGACAUGAUCUAGUGCUAUUCUUAGGAUUGGGUCUUGUCCAUCACAUCAUUCUCUUAAUGACUUGAUCCCGUUAUGAAUGACAUCCAAUGUCCAUGAUCAGGAACCCAUGAUCAUCCAGUGAUCAAUGAGCUAGCCAACUAGAGGCUCACUAGGGACACAUUGUGAUCUAUGUAUUCACACAUGUAUUAAAGUUUGUGGUUAAUACACUUAUAGCAUGAGUAAUAGACAAUUAUCAUGAACUGGAAAUUUAAUAAUAACCAUUUUAUUAUUGCCUCUAGGGAAUAUUUCCAACAUCGAGCAACGGCAUGAGAUCAGGCGGUGAUGCAGCAUCCCGUCGCUCCAUCUCAAGUUGGACCCAGGGUUUGCACCCACCAGCGACCUCUGGGAUCACUGAUUCAUGCCCCGCGUCGUGCCCGAGGGGUGCUUGCGGAUGUACUUCGCAUCCACUAGGUCGGGGCCACGUGCACCGCCUUCACCAGCGCAAGGACAGGCGGCUCCACUGCCGCUAGAGGUAGAUGAUCCACCGGCAAAAAAGCAAGCGGCUCCACUUCUGCUGGAGCUAGCGGAUCCACUGAAACUCGAGGUGGCGGCUCCAUUGCCGCUGGAGCAGGCGCCUCGGGCGUAGGAGGAGGCGCCGCCUGCAUCCGACAGUGACGAGUAGUAGGCGAUCGCGGCGACAACGGGCGUGGCAGUGAAACUAGUAUAGGGUUUUCUUUUUUGUUUAUAUAUAGGGUGCCCUUAUAUAUAUAUACGUUGUUUAUUUUGUUUUUAAUCGAACUUUAUCUGAAUCGAGAUGAAGUUAGUUGGAUGUGUACGUUGUUCCUAUAUAUUUGUACGUUAUUUAGCAUCAUACUAGUUGAAAUCCCUAUUCUUUGAGCUUUUUAACUAUAUUCCAACGAAAUAUUUUACAUUUUUUAUUUGUUUAGUGCCAAAAUACCUAUUUUUGAGAUUUUUAACUAUAUUCCAUGCAUUAUAUGAGUUUAAUAGCAUUUACCAAAAUGCCCAUUAUGGAGGAAAUCAAGCUUCUUAGUAAUGUGCGUAAAACUAAAUUUACUCAUGUUCUUCGUACCCAAAAUAUUGUUAGUGAUUAUUUGGCUAAGUUUGCUAGAAUUGAGAAUAGAACUGUCGUUUGGCUUAACUCUGGCUUGUGAGGGGCUAUUGAUCUUUUUAAUAGGGACCAUGGCUAUACCACUUGAGUAAUACAAAUUUCAUUCGCAAAAAAUAGCAUUUACUGACAAUAAUGAAAGUAUUUUCUAUUCUUUUACAAGUUGAAAAGAAGGGUUAACUAGAUAAAGGGUAUCUACUCGGCAUUGCGCACGAUCGACUCAAGAAAAUUGUGGUCAUUUCGGUCUGAGAUAGAGAGAGCGUGUGAAUCCAAGAAAAUUAGCCCCCAAAAAACUGAGGGCAAUACACUCGCAUUAAUUAGGCCAUGUUUGGAUACUCUAACUCGAUUAGAGGUUAGAGUUAGAUUCUUCGGUGGGUUAGUUACAUCUAAUAAACAUACACUUAGCAUAUGAUCCAUUACAUUAAGCUUACAAGGAUUAAGCUACAUAAAUAAUUGAUCCAUCACAUUAGUCACAUUAAGUUACAUCUAAUAACCUCCAACGACUUAUGAUCAACAAGUAAGAAAAUCCUAGAGUAACUAUACACAAAUAAAAUGCUACAUCGAUGAGAUUAGCGUGCUCCGUCAGAUUGUAGCGACCCGACUCAAGACGAGUCAAGCCUCUGUGUUUCUGUGCCAUCCCUGGAUCAGUAUGCUGGCACACACAGUACAUCAAUGUAUAUAUCAAAGUGCAAUCACAUGUAAAAUAGCGUAAAACUGAUAUAUACCUUAAAUAUCUCAGCGGAAGCAGUCAAGGGAGUGGAGUCCCAAUAAACACCAACGACAAGUUGAGUGUAGACCGUAACCCUGAAUCGUACUCUUACUCGUCGAAGAAAAAUAUCUGCAACAUAAGACGUUGCAGCCGUGUAGGUCAGCAUAUUGAAUAUGCCGGCAAGUCACAUAUGAGAGGGGGUAAAAUGUCAUCUAUACUAUAUGCAUAUAUGGCAGGUGGGGCUAUAAGUUUUUAGCGAAAAGCAAAUUUUCUCCUACAUCAAGAGAGGCUUAAAAGCAAAAUGUUACUACGUUGUUUGUUGUUAACGAGAUGGUUCCGCCAACCAAUUCUCGUACCCGAGUUGUCAAUAAUUCCCACAUCAAUAUUAUUAUUUGUGUUGAGAAUUUCAGAUAACUUCAGUUCCUUUGGCUCAAGUUGUCCAUGACCGUGGACACGGCUAAUCGAUUAGGUUUGAGUACUCUGCAGAGUUUUGCACACGUUCCCCACAAGAUUUGAUCGCCUCCGUGUAUGUCCUCGCACUUCAGGGUGUUUGAAGACCGGAUGAUCAAAACAUGGUCUUUCAACGGGUCCCUCUGAAUCCCUGUCGGUGCCCAUCCAAUCCUACCGUUCUUCUACAUCUGCUAGCACCGCUUGUCCAGAGUCGCCGCGUUGUCCAACCAAGCCAGAGCCCAUAAUGACUUGUGGCUGUGCAGGUAAGCCUUGGGUCUUGAAAAUAUCCGUCCGUCUCUUUGAGCCUGGGUGAAGCUUUCCGCAUGAUGUCAUGGCCGUCUCCAGCAUCUCGGGUCAUCCACUGGUUUCUCCAGGGAGCCGAUCAACCGUCCUUCACCCAGAGUUCCAUUGCAUCAUGAGGUCUUGAAAAGUCUUGACUUAACCGGUCUUGGUUAUUAAAUUAUUCCCGCAUCACUCGUGAUAAACUCUCGACCAGAAUCCCGUCUACUCAAGCAUAGCAAUAUGAAAUUUGUCGUCUCGGGCCAAGUAACGAGGUUGUUGGGUGCCUACCACAUGAUACUACAAUAUGUCACCAUAAUUUCCAAGUACCUAGUCAACAUGCAAUUGGGCAUAGGAUGGUAGAACUACGAUGCAUAAAACAUAGGUGAUACAUGGUCAAAUGACUUGCCUGGUGAUGUUGACGAAGAAGAAUUUCUCGAGAAAUAACUUGAUAGACUACUCGUCACUCUCCGAUGAAACUAUAUAACAAACAUAUCAUUCACAUAAGCACUCAUACUAGCAAUCAUUCUAGCAAUCAAAACAAAAGAGAGAGUGAAUAGGAAUCCGAAGGAAACUUCAAAUAUGACUAGGGAGUGUUCUACUACGUCAAACACUAACUAGUUUUUGUCCGACGGAAAAUAAUAAGAGGGAACUAAGAUAUAAAUUUAACUAAUAUAAAAUAAAGUAUUUUUCACAAAACUAUUUGAAAGUAUUUCCAAACGGGAUUUGAAACAGUGGAGAAACCAAUUGCAAGUUACUAAGGAACUAGAAUUGAUUUCAUGAUAAGAAAUAAAAAUAAAAUCAAAACUUGUUGCAAAACUACUGUUAACUAACAUAAACAAAACAUAAUCUUUCUGAAAUAUAAAAGAAAAUAAUUUAAAAACAAUUAUAGAAAAAGUAAUAGCCAUAAUCCUAAAAGAGGUGAAACAGAAAUUGUUUCACAAGAAAAAAUGAGCUAAAAUACUCAAACAAAUCUGGAAUUUUUACCACUGAUAACUAAGAUCACUAGUGAUCUGUAGCAAAAAGAAUCAAAUUAAAAUCUAUUUUAAACUCCCGGAAUAGGCAAAACAAGGUUUAAACUAAAUCUGAUCUAAUUCAAAUUUGAAAAUUUCAAACAUAGACAAAUUAUAUGUUUUUAAAAACUUCAGAAACAUUGUGAUCUACUGGAAAACGAAUCAACUCUAUUGGACUUAAGGAUCAAAAGUUAUGGGCUAAACAAAAUUGGAACCUUCUCUGUUUUUGAAUUAACAGAAAAAGAAAAAUCUGAAUUCUAUCAAACACUUGUACACGUGGCGCUCACUGAUUGGAUGAGGAGGUGUGUGCUGCGAGAAGUACUAGAACAUGGCCGAAAUCUAACUAAAACUUCGGCUAACUAAUAAGUGACGAAAAAAAACCGUUCGGUUCUUUAACUAAAAACCGAAGGGGUAAGCUGCUUUUAAUAUACACGGUUGGAUAUGGAUCUAACGGUAAAACUACACAAUACAUAAAAAACAAAACAAACAAAAGAAAAAAGAAAGGAAGGAGGAGUUACCUCCCGUGGAUGAACACAGUAGGGCUACUCCGGCGAUGGGGACUACGCCGGCGAGGGGCGAGGUCGCCGCCGAGGGUGGGGCGGCGGAGGAUGGAUUUCUCGGGGAAGAAAUAUAAAGAAGCAAGGGAAAAUAUUUGAAAGAAUUCAAAUGCAAAGCUCCGUUCAAAUUCUUUAUAGUUGAAGAAGUCAUGUCAUCUUCUCUCAUUGCUUUUAAUUGGAUGAAUUUGAGUUUACCGGAGAAGGGGAAAGUCAUUUUAUUCCCUCUCAUUCAAAUUUUUUUUUUGAAAAGUUUCUAAUUUGACUCAAGUUUCAAUCACUCAAUCAAACAAACAAUCAUUCUAAUAAUUAUUUUAACAUUCCAAAAUUUGGGAUGUUACAAACCUACCACACUUAAAAUGAAUCUCGUCCUCGAGAUUUGAAGAGGCUAGAAAGAAAGGUUAGGGUUUGGGGGUCUUCUAACAAUUCCAAUCUCCGGCAAGGUGGGAUGCUAGCACACUUAAAAUGAGAGGUACUGGUCCCUUAAGAUUUUAACAAUCCUCUGGGGUUUUGGCAUCUGACUCCUCACAGUCUUCGUAUCUUCCGUUAUAUUCAUAAUGUCUCCAUAAAAAACGAGGGCUCUUCCGUUGAUAUAAGCUUCUUCCGUUACUGGGUCUUCUUAACUGACAGUCUCGUGGUCAAUUCUAAAUAACAUUGAGCUUCACUUAAUGUGUAGUGUUUGGUUGUUGUGACUGUCAUGCCUUGCAUAUUUAAAAUGGACAUGCUUCAGAAUUGCUUCCAUAUCAUGUCAUGAAUAUGUUGUGGUGUUUAUAGUAUGCCUAUAUAUUGUAGUUUAUUUAUGUCAUGAAUAUCAUGCUUCAGAAUUGCUUCCAUAGCUUUGAAGUGUGAGGAUUCGUUUGACUACGUUGGUUUGUCUACUUCACGGAUUCGUUCUUCUUCCAAGCGGGAUCACACCAAGAUCACCAUUUCCCUAGAUACCACUACUAUCAUUGCUAUGCUAGUUGUAUCGUUUCUAUCACUAUGUCUCCCUGCCUACCACCUAUUAUGUCAAGCCUCCCAACAUUGCCAUGAAAAGCCUCUAACCUUACCACAACCCAGGAAACCCUUGUUUGGUUAUGUUACUGCUUGCUCAGCCUUCUUAUAGCGUUGCUAGUUGUAGGUGUGGUUGCCUCCAUGUGCCAACAUGGAUUCUCUGUUGUAGCACCAUAUGAUUGCUAUUUAAUUUAAUGCACCUAUAUACUUGCUAAAAGGUCGAAUGCUUGGCCUUCUAGCCUGGUGCUUUGUUCCAUAUUUGCCACCCCAGUUACUUGUGUACCAGUGUUAUGUUCCAUAUUUGAGCGCUCUAAACAUUCUAGGGGUUGUUAUGGGGACCCCUUGAUUUUUUGCUUUGGGAUAAAACUCUUUUGGCAAGGCCCAACAUUGCUACUAUAUUUGCCCAAAAUAAUAAUACUAAACAUCGUGAUUAAAACAUAGCGUGUCAUGAACCCAAGGAGUAAUUCAACAUAAUAUAGGGGGCCAGUGUUGAUGCUAUUGGUCCAAAAUAGAGCCACUUAGGGGGCCACCCGAUGCAACUCGGGGGAUUUCAAUCCAGCCACAGUACGUAUUCCUCAUCUGAUUGUACCCUGAGAACGAGAUACGCGGCUCCUAUCGGGAUGAUCGGCACGUCGGGCGGCCUUCCUCGAUUUGUUUCAUCCUUAUCAAACGUCUUAUGCGAGGAAUUCCGAGGAUACUUUGGCCUAUCUCGACGUCGAAGUUUUCCACCCGGAAUCCGAGGAGAUCACGGGUUUUUCAUUGGCGACGUUUUCGACAUAGCUUGUGGUGGAGUAGUUAGAGCACCCCUCCAGGGUUGAAUCUUUCGGGAAGCCGUGCCCGCGAUUAUGUGGCAACUUGGAAUGUUUGUUUAACACCUGAGCGUAGAAAAAUUGAAGUAAACUUAAUUAAAACUUGCUAACUAUGUGCGUAAUCGUGACUGUCUCUUCUCGUGAGCUCUACCGAGAGAGGACACGGUGGGGUUAUGUCUGACGUAAGUAGGUGUUCACAAUCAAUUCAAGAUCAUUAUUAUUUCACGUAUGUUCAUGCAUAGACGACCCCUCUCUUAUUCUUAUACUCGUAAGUUAGCCACUCAAAUAGAUGCUUAGUGCUUACUGCAGCCUCGCCACUUAACCAUACCUCACCCAUUAAGCUUUGCUACUAUAGAUACCUUUGGAAAUGAGAUUGUUGAGUCCCACAGAUUACUACAACAACAGUUGCAGGUACAAGUAAAGUGAUUCUUUUAUGUGAGUGUGAUGAUUGUUCUAUAUGGAGUUUCUUCUUCUUCUUCAUCAUCAAUCUUGGACGGGUUCUAGGCCGGCAUCAUGGGAUAGCAAGGAUGGAUGUCAUUCUUUUAUCGAUUGAUUUCGUCCGUAGUCGGACCCUGCUCUUCUACAUGGUGAUUGAAUAUAUUGUUGUAUUUUGUUGUUCAUGACGUAGCUUGUGGCGAGUGUAAGCCAAUUCCAUAUACUGAUCUCUUAUGUACAUGUACUUGUAAUGAUAUCCAUUCUUGUGAAACGAUGAGAUGUGCUUCUAUCCCUUUCGACGACCUCGUGCCAAAAUAAGGAUAGGAUCGCACCUUGGGCAUUACAAGUUGGUAUGGGAGCAGUACCGACCUGGAAGCCCCCUUCAUUGAUCAAAGUUGGCCGAGCCCAGUCUAGUGAAACACUAUUUUGAGUCCGAGUUAUAUCGGAGAGUGGGAUUCUUUUUACUCCUCGUCUAUGCUCUGGUGAGGAAUUACAACUUAGGAAUUUUAUUUCUACUCCUCUUCUCACUCAAAAUAAACUCAGGAUCGCACGGGUAUUUUGGAAUCUAAUGAUGUCGAUGUGACGGAGUUCUGACUUGGUCCCUCCUGUAUGACUUGAUUUCUUCCACGGAGUUGAGCUCCAGAGGAUUUUGACACAUCGUUAUCGUUCAGUUUCCUUAGUAUCUCAGGACGGAGGAUGUUCGAAAUUGGUUCAAUACUCUUUGUGGCGAGAGGAGUUUUCAUCACCCAGUACUAGGGAGAGCAUCCAAACAUACUGCCAUAAUUGGUAUCAUUGUGAUUACGAGGAUGCGAGGUAGAUGAAUUUGCACAACUUCUCAGAUAUCUGUUGAUAGUUGCGGGAAAGUUUUGUAGCUGAUUACAUUGAGAAGGUUCCCACACACACAACCUGAUAGCAUGACCAAGAAAGAUCUCGGAAGUUCUUAGAUGGUAAUUCAAGUAGUUAUCUAGGAUUACGUUCCAACACAUGCAUAAUGUUAGGUUGGGGUUCGACGUCUAGUGGAUUUUUUUGUUCACGGUCUUUCAUAGAGAAGACAGUCUCGAUAUCUGUCGCGAGAUAUGCUUCGUCAAGCCUUGUAGUUCGCUAUGCUUAGGGAGCAUAUUCGAGCGUCAUUUCAAUAUGACAAUAUGAUGUACGAUCGAGCCCCUGCGAACCUUACCACAAAAAUAUCUAGCAAAAUUUGUGUCAUAUAUUUGUUUGUGGCUUAUUCUGUAAGACUCAUCCUUUGUUUUGUUGGAGUAUGGUAAUUAAAUUUGCUUCGUUGUCAAGUGGUGAGUUCAUAUAUUUCCUAAGAAAUGUUCUCAUAUUUUUACGGGAAUUCUAAUCCUUUUGUUCAACCUGAUUUGUCAUCACAUUCUUUCAAAUGGAGUGCUUCUCUUCAAGAUAAUUCAAUCCUUUUAAAUAUUUUCAAGAUCAAUCUCUCAUUUCUUUUUCGGAGUUUGUCUCAUCUGUCCCAAUUUUUCUUUGUUUUUCCCACCCUCUCGCCCUUGUCUUCGGUGAUUUAAUUAUCAUCCAAGUGCCUUUCUUUUCAUUGAUGUGUCCGCUAUGAUUCUUCCAUAUUGUAUCCAGUGGUUCAUGGCAAAGAUGCUUCAGUGACGAGUUCAUCAUUUCGUCGCCUACGUGUUCUUAUCCGGUGAAUUCUAUUCAAGCUCUCGGUGUUCAUCAUAUCAUUUUCAUCCUUUAAAUGAUUCCUAUGUUGGAUAUUCUUAUCCAAGCCUCUCUUGUUCAUUCAUCCCUCUCUAUUCUAUCCGGCGUGCUGAAAAAAUCUUAGAAGAUUUCUGUUUUCAUUCAAUCCUUUCAAUUAUUUUGAGGUGCCCAUCUCAUCAAACUUUAAUUUGAUCUGGUGCAAUCUUUCUUAGAAAUCGUUUCAACGGUGGUUUCUUUUGAGUGGGCCCAUAACCCACAUGUUUUAUUCCCAGGAUCUUAACUAGCUCUCCUAAUAUUUUCCAGAGAUCUCUAAUUCUUUCAAGUGUGAUGUAAGUAUGGUUUACAUCAGUCAUAUUCGUUAUUCAAGAUGGUUUCAAAUUUAUUUAUCAUCAAUGGCUCAACAAUUUCUUAUUCAUUGUUCCGGAGUGUCUCGUUAAUUUUGGUGGUGUUCCUUCUCAUCAUGCUCAGGUUGGAGUGUGAAGAAGUGUUUCUCUUAAAUCUUUGUUCAUUCUCUUGAACAUGGUUUCACCUUUGUGCUAUCCUCUAAUUUUUUUUUCAAUCAUGAGUAUUCCUUCCAUAUCUAUCCGGUGCAUUUUAGAGUUGCUUUCAUUUCUCGAUCCUUCAAAGGCCACCAUUUCAGAAGAUUUCUUUCUUAUUAGCUUUUAGCUUUCGUUCUCAAAUUCUUCUCAACAGUUGUCUAUUUGUUCGUCUUGCAAUUACUCCGGUGCCUUGUUCAAGUUUUCUCUCACGUGGAUCAUGAUCGCUUUGCUCACUUACAUCUCAAUUCAUUUAAAUUUUUCUCAUCCAUUUCAAUUCUUAUCGGCGGUUCGUUCAAAGUCUUCUUCAAGUUUGUGCUCAUAUCUCUUUUCAAUCUUUUCAAGAAGAAUAAGUGGUAUGCUAAAUUCGUUGCUUGUCAUCAAUUUAACUUCAUGAGGGAUGAUCAUAACAUAAUUCUUAUUCUUGUUUCAUCAAGGUUAUUUCAAUUAUUUUCCGGAGUUCCUCAUGAUAUCAAAUUAUUUAUCCCAAGUGCUUCAUCGUGUCUUUUCUGGAGUUCCAAUUUUUUCUCAAGUGUUACAUGGUUAUAAUAUAAUUAUGUUCAACCUUCAUUUUGUUUUAUCAUUCUUUUGUAUACAGAGGUUCUUUAGGUGGUUCUUCAAGGAUUUAAUUCAUUCUCAAGGUGUUCUUCAACAUUCUCGUUGGAGAGGAUCAAGUGUUCUUUCUCUUGCAUUUCAGAGUGUAAUUCUUCCUCCAUUAUCCUUUGAGGUGGUGUUAUCUCAUUCUUAAUUUAUGAGGAGUGUCUAAGGGAAUAUGUUUAAAGAAUGAGAUAUUUAAACCCACCAAUUCCUUCAAUCAUGAGAUAUUCUCAACCCAUGAUUUCUUCAUUGAAGUAUCUUGGAUUGGAUUUCACCUAAAGCUUUUUCUAAGGAUUGUUGCUAUUAUGGUGGUUAUCUUUGAUCCAAGUUCUCAAUGUAUCCUAUUGGUGAAAGAAGUUUGCACAUCUUGUUGCUCCCAAGUAAUCAAUUGUUUCCGUUAGUGGCUGGUUGUCACCUCAUUAUUUUGAGAUGGUUUCUAUAAGUCCACAAUAAGCUUUUUUCGUUGUUGAUGUUCCAACAACUCCAUUCAAUCCUGCUUUGUAGGAUCCCGUUCAAGCUCAGUUAUGGUGGAAGUUCUCUUUUCUCUUCUCCAUGAAGCAAGCUAGUUUCUAUUCUUCUGUUCCGGAGCCAUUAUGAUGCUGUUAUCUUUGAUUCGUCGUCUCGUUGUCAAGAUCAUGUUUUUCCCUUGGUUGUCCAUUUAACCGGAGUGUUGUGUUAUCUCUCAAGAAAUUUCCAUCUAAUUAAGUUUUGCCCUCUUUCCUACCGAAGUGCUGCCAAAAUUUCUUUUGAAUAAUUUCUUGUUCCUCGUGCCAUUUUUUUAUCUCUUUGGAACUUUCAAGAAUCGUUGGUUUCACUCGUUUGUCAAAGAAGCAACAAAGCUUUAGCUUGUCCUCUUCUCUUCCUCUUCCCCUUUUCAUUCUUAGAUCUCGGGUCGAGAUCUCUUGUUAGCGGAGACGAGUUGUAACAGCCCGGAACCGACGGUCCAGAAGAUUCCCUUUUAUUCCAUUGUCAUCGUGUGAUUCUUUUGCUUGUCACAUUCAUCAUCGCAUCAUGUGCAUCAUGUGCAUUGCUUAGACACUCCAUUGUCGUUAUUUCUUUUCUUAACUUGCAUACAUUGUUAGUUGUCAGUUCUCUCCGCUUUGUCAUUGACCAUUUCGAGACCAACCACACAAUUGCACGCCCGUGGCACUAUUAAAAUAUAUUUUUUAUUUUGUGUAUAAAACUUUCUUGAAUUGAGUUAAAAGUUGGUGUGCGGUCUUAAUAUAGUGUAGGUAGGCAGCAUGCCAAAUUUCAUUGCAAUCAGAGUCCGUUUCGUACUCGAACCAUUAAAUGAAUAGGGGCAUUGUAGCUGCCCAAAAUAUAAGAUGCUUUCGGUUGUAAAACUCUGAUGUCGUGUUUCCCGUUUUGCCUCUUGAAUUUGCCUAGCCUCUCUUCAUAGUGCACACAGCCCUCGCGCGCGUCCUGUAGCUUGCCCGAACCCCAAGCAUACGGUCGUGACCGUUGGGUUCAAAUGAACACUGUAAUACCGCAAAUCAUCUACAAUUUUAAACUUAGGCUUCCUAACCCGAUUUUCUUGACCGUCCAAUUUUGAUUGGAGGGUCCAAAAGCUAGUCCCUUCUUCCAAUAUAUAGAUCAACCCACCUAAUCUAGCCCAAACUGCCUAUAAAAGGAAGUCCCUCGUCCAUUUUUGGCCCCCCCAGCCGUCGCCCUCAUUUUUCAUGCCGCACCAUAGCCGUCGCCCUCAUUUUUCACGCCGCACCAUAGCCCCGCCGGCUCUUGGUUCUGCCGCCGCCAUUGUUCCAGCAAACCCGCGGCCGACACCUCGCCCUCCACCAGCCUCUCAUCGCCCGGGCCCGCCCGGGCCCGACUACACCGCCACCAGCCUGACCUCCUCCCAAGUGCCUCACCUCCAACCCCGACCACCCCAAACGGCUGCCUCGUCGGGCCACCGCUGGCCGGCCAUCGAAAAGCCGCCGGAGCGCCGCACCUCGCCGGUGAUGGGUACCCCUUGCCCCGUGCCUUCUCUCCCCAUCUCCAUCUCUCUCCCUGCCUCAACUCAAGCUCUCUCUCUCCUACAGGCCAACCCCGCCAUGGAUGCGCCACCCCAAGAUCCGGCUGUUGCUGCUUGGUGUGCUGUCGCCCGGAUCCGGCCCUGCCAAUACAAAUGCGGAUGCCCCACGCCCCGCAAGUCCCAUCGGAUCACCCCUUGCUCCUGGAACCGCCGCAGCCGGCCCCCGUGUUCAAGCAAGACCAUUGUGGGUACAAUGCCCCGCUCCAGCGUGCUCACGUGGGCACCAGUGUCGCGUCGUGCUGCCGGCCCACCAGCGGCCAAUCGGGCUAGCCCUAGCCGCGGUAGGCUGUCGCGCUUCUCGUGUGGGCCACACAAAGGACCAACCCGAGCACACCAGAUCUGCGCCAAGGCCCAGCUAGGUGAGAUGUUCCCUGGCUCUAGCCCUCGCCCGAGCGUAGUAUUGCAAUGCUGCGCUCGCUCAGAUUCGCCCGCAUAGCAUUUUUUCACAGUACACGAUUUUUGACUAUUUCUAGGGAUUUUCAUAUUAUACAAAAGGCAUCAUUUUAAAAUGCUAAUAGCUCUUUAACCGUGCAUUGGUUUGAAAUAUUUUAGAUAUGUAAAAUGUCAAGAAUUUCAUGUAGAUUAAUAAUAUCCAUCUUUCAUGCAUGUUAAAAAAUGUUUAACAUGUUGUUUGCAUUGUUUUGCAUGAUACUAUAACAGAAUGAUUUAAUUCAUAGCAAAAUAACCGUGUAGCAGAUUUAAAAACUUUAUACAUGAAAAUGCAUAGAAUUUUGUGUAGUUUCACAAUAUCCAAGUUUCAACCAUGUUAUAAAUAUUAAAUUUUUCUUUUCAUUCAAAUUGCAUAAAUGUCAUGUCAAAAUGAUUUGUUUCAUAAUUAAUUAAUCGUAGCUCCGAUUAAAAUGAUACACAUAUGUAACUUGACCAGAAAAAUGUGUACAAUAACAUGAUAGCAUUUAUUUUGAUUUUUAAAAACUCUAUAUAUGUUUUAUAGGCAGAACAGUUCCAAAACCUUAAUUUGCAUAUGAGGACUUUCCAAAAUUGUUAUUUAUUAUUCCGGCCUUAUUUAAACUUGUGUAUAUAUUCAUGUAGUUCUAUAAUAUCUUGUGAAUCCAUGUGUUUAACAUGUUGUGGUUGUCAUUUGCAUGCAUUUUGCAUUCGUGGCAUAUCAUCUUGUCUUCCUCAUAUCUUUUAAACUGUAGCUCCAUUUUAGAUGAUUUAUAUAUGUAAAUCGACUAGAAUGAUGUGUAGAAUCACAUGGUCCACUUUAAUUUGCUAUUUAAUAAGUAUAAAAUAAGUUUAGUUCAGAUCCGGACCAAUUUCUAAAUUAACAUAUGGUCGUUUCGUAAAUAUUGUAUGUUGUAUGCGACCUCAUUUAAAAUGCCAAGAUAGUGUAGUUUAUUUAUGCUUCACCUCUAUCCUUGUUUAACAACAUUUAACAUUGGCGUGUACCUAAAUGGGAGUGAACUAUAUAAUAAAAACACGGAGUUUCGUCAAUAUGCAAUGAGUUGCAUAUUGAGCUUCACUUAAUGUGUAAUGUUUGGUUGUUGUGACUGUCAUGCCUUGCAUAUUUAAAAUGGACAUGCAUCAUAAUUGCUUGGACAACAUGUUAUGAAUAUGUUGCGCUGUUUAUCAUGCGUUGAUUGUUUGUUUGGGAUUGUCUCUUGUUGAUAGAGUUCCGAACCGCUUCGAAGUGUUAGGAUUCGAUCGAAUAUGUUGGUUCAUCUGCUUCACAAAUUUGUUCUUCUUCCAAGCAGGAUCACACGCAAGAUGACUAUUUCCCUUGAUACCACAACUAUCAUUGAUAUGCUCAUUGUCUCGUUUCUAUCGCUAUGUCUCGCUGCCUACCACAUGUUAUGUCGAGCCUCCAAACAUUGCUAAGAAAAGCCUCUAACCAUUCCACAACCUAGCAAACCCUUGUUUGGCUAUGUUACCGUUUUCUCAGCCUCCUUAUAACGUUGCUUGUUGCAGAUGCACUUGCUUCCAUGUGCCAACAUGGAUUCCUUGUUAUAUCACCAUAUAAUUACUAUUUAAUUUAGUUUACCUAUAUACUAGAUAAAAUGUGGAUGGCUUGCCCUUCUAGCCUGGUGUUUUGUUCCAUCUUUGCCACCCUAGUUACUUGUGUACUGGUGAUAUGUUUCUUAUUGAUCACUCCUAACAUGCUCGGGGUUGUUAUGGGGACCCCCUUGAUUUUCGUUUUUGGGAUAAAAAUCUUCUAGCAAGGCCCAACAUUGAUACUAUAUUUGGCCAACAUAAUAAUACUGAACAUCGUGAUUAAAACAUAGGGCGUGAUGAACCUGAGGAGUAUUCCAACAUAAUACAGCGGGGCCAAUGUUUAUGGUGUUACUCGCAAAUAGUGCCACUUGCGGGGCCACUCGAGGUAGCUCGGGGGAUUUCAAUCCGGCCAUCGUAAGUAUUGCUCAUCCGAUUGUGCCCUGAGAACGAGUUGCGCAGCUCCUGUCGGGAUCGUCGGCACGUCAGGCCACCUUGUUGGAUUUGUUUAACAUUUCUCAGACGUUUGGUGCGAGGAAUUCCGAGGAUACUUUGGGAUAUCUCGAGGUUGAGGUUUUUCACCAGGAAUCCAAGGAGAUCAUGGGUUUUUCGUGGUCGAGGUUUCCAAAGCAGCUUGUUGUAGUUUGUGAUGGUCUAGUUGGAGCGCCCCUGCAGGGUUAAAUCUUUCGGAAAGCCGUGCCUGCGGUUAUGUGGCAACUUGGAAGCUUUGUUUAACAUUCGGUCAUAGAAAACUUAAAGUAAACUUAAUUAAAACUUGGCAAUUGUGUGCGUAACCGUGUCUGUCUCUUCUUAUGAGAUAUGUAUCUGAGAGAUGACAUGCUGGGGUUAUGUCCGACGUAAGUAGGUGUUCAGGAUCACUUCAAAAUCUUUAUUAGUUCACGUCCGUUUAUGUGCAGACUACCCCUCUCUCAUUCUUGUACUUGUAAGUUAGCCACUCAAAUAAAUGCUUAGCGCUUGCGAGAGCCUCACCACUUAACUAUACCUCACCCAUGAAGGUUUGCUUUUCUUGAUACCUUUGGAAAUGAGAUUGUCGAGUGCCUAUGGCUCACACAUUACUACAACAACAUUUGCAGGUAUAGGUAACAAUACUUUGACGUCAGCCUGAUGAUUGUUCUAUUUGGAAGGGUUCUAGGCCGUCAGCCUGGGAUAGCAAGGAUGGACGUCGUUCUUUUAUCGUUUGAUUUCGUCCAUAGUCGGACCCUGCUCUUCUACACGGUGAUUGAAUAUAAUGAUGUGUUGUGUUGUCCAUGUUGUAGCUUGUAGAGAGUGUAAGCUAAUUUUAUGUAGUCAUAUUUUCAGUACAUGUACUUGUGACGAUAUCCAUUCUUGCGAAACAACGAGAUGCGCUUUUAUCCCCGUCGAGGCAUUCAAGCCA
rnacentral:lncRNA from 1 species